AAGGAGUAAAGAGUACUCGCCGUAACCAAAAAACAAAAAUAUGCAGUUCAAAAAAAUGUGACAGGCUAUGAGAUGGGAUUCAAGGAAACCAAUCCUAAAACAAUCACAACACCACAAACCAGUUGUUCUCCCAAUACCACACUUAAGUCUCACUUCCCAUUUGAAAACACCCAGAUUUGAGAAAGGAAUCCCUGGCCCUCAUCAGGCCCUUCAUAAAAGUGAGGGUCUACAGGUUUCACCUUCACCUAAAGCCGUUGCAUCUAGCCCUCAACAUGGCACUGGCUGCAAGGCCCCACAACAGUGAACUUCACUUUAGACGGAACAAUUCCCUCGAUGUAUGUCCUGAUGGCCAAGAGCCCUUGCCGAGCUUCGACGAUGGCAUCCCUGCCCAUGGGGCAGCCAUAGCAUUUGUCUGAUCCGUUGACAGAACACCUAGAGACACUAUCUCCGUUGGUGGUGUCCAGUGUAAGAUAUUCAAGUGACUUUGUACUCUCAAGAAUGUGACAUGUUAGCUUAACCAAGCACUUUGCAGAGGAGAAACCAGUAAUAGUCACACUCUUUAGCUUGUCAUGGUGGUGCUCCGGCAUCUGCCUCCGACCUGAAGGAUCUGCAAAAAUGGAUGGAUGCCGCAUGCUGUUCCACACCGCCUAAAUAUGAGUUAACAGUUCCACCAUAGUUAAGUGAUAUAUUCGAAGGGCGAGAUCUGAAAAGGGAGAUAUCUUUACAGGGCGAAGAGACUUACAUUCAGGAUGAAUGUCUCCAAUGAAGGAGAAGCAUCAAAAAAUGAUAUGAGAGAACAAUAAUCAUAGGCUGGGGGCGCAGCAAGAACAACAGUCAAGUGCUUGAGGAAUGGAAAUUUGCUACCAAUCAUUGGUGUACUGAGCAUCUGCGUAAAGAUCUUGGAUUAAAAUUAUGCAAGUGCAUGGCUACUGUUGUAAUAUCAUGAUACACAAUUUCAGUAGUCUAUAGUCACCAGAAAAUUCGCAGUAUACCUCACUGUGUGAACAUAUAGAAAUAGUUUCAAGAUUUGGCAAGCUGGAUGGAAGAUUGGCACGAGCAUAACAGAGAGCACCACGACACUGCAUGACUAGGGUCUUCAAUUGUAAUGCUUCUCCAAACGAGAGAUGUGCUAGGUGGUCACUGAUAAACCGAAAAUUGGAGAGACAUUGAGCUUCAAUCUCUAUCGCUUGCAGCCUCUUACAGUUAGACACCUCAAGGGUGAUGAGCCACUGCAGCAGGGAAGGUAUCUUCAGUCUAAUAAUCUUACUGCAAUACAUGAGUGCCAACUGCUGCAAAGCAACAGAAUUUUCUAGAAGGCAAGCUAACUCAUUUCCUGUAAUACGGACAUCAAACAGCUCAAGUUGAGUCAAACUACUCAAACCAAGUCUGACUGUAGGACAGAACACACACUGGUAAAGAUUCAGACACCGAAUCGAGUUUCCACCUCCUUCAGAUAGAAGUGAACAUGGGAAGUUGAACUUUUUUUUUGCUCACAGAAGGAAUAACAGUGAGUUCUUCAAUCCCAGGUGUGACGGCAAUCUGAAGCCAACGAUCAAGAUAAUAGCCCUGUUAAUAGGCCCUGUUAAUACAAUCCCUUUUCUGCCAUGUAACACCUGCAAAAUUUUCUACCAACAAUCUGAAGCCAACGAUCAAGAUAAACAGCUCUAACAAAGCGUGCCUCUAGAGAGAAAUCUUGCGUGACCUAUACUCUAUUAUUCAUUUGAUUUUGUUGUCUUACAAAAGGAAACAGUAGUGGUGGCUCUCCGGCAAGGAUCGGCAAAACAAAUAGAGGUAGCAAUCGAGGUGUUUGAUCGUGCAAGAGGAUAGGCACGUCUAGAGCGACGCGUCACAAACACCUGAUGGAGCACAUCAGUGGAAAAGCUCUAGCGGUGCAGUUGCUUCAGCCGCCUGUGAAACAAAAUGCUUCUUUAGUAUGUUUGAAAACUAUGUAGUUUUAUGAUAUCACAUGGGAAGUUGUUUUGUAUGUAGGUGUUUCCCUCCACCUUGCUAUUUCGAGUUUUACUUUAUUUUGAUGUUUAGUUGGUGACUGUUGUAUCAAGCUUUGAAUGAUUUCAAUGACGAAAACGAGGAUCAAUCCCUUUCUUCAAGAAAAAAAUGGGGAGUUUGGUCGCCACAUUUACCCCACGUGGUAGAUCGGAGGUGAUCUACCGAAAGGUGGCAUGCAAGUGAAACUUACAGUGUGGCGCGGGAUACACAUGAUAUCAAUACUUACCCCACCUCCCCUACAACAUCAAGUAGACCAAGGGCGAGGAAAAACCACAUUAAGAAGGCAAGGAGAGAAGGUGUUUGCGCUGCCAUUGCCUGGAUGGCCCUACCAACCAUACUACUGAAACUAAUAAAGAAGAUAAUCAUUUAGACUACUACAUGCCAACAAUUAUUCCCUAAUCCAAACUCGUCGGCCCUAGUAGAGUAGACCCAACCCAACAUAUCAACCAACCUAACAAGCACACCUUUCACGUAAUCAUGCUUUAUGCCGACUAAACAUUUGCUAAUGUGGAAAGUUAUAUAAUAUAUAUAUAUAUAUGUAUAUAUAUAUAUAUAUAUAUAUAUAUAUAUAUAUAUAUAUAUAUAUAUAUAUUAUGUGCUCUUUCCACUUUUGUGAUGUUCUUAGCUGGUUUUAUGUACGGGCUAUUGACCAUAAGAUUGCUCCAGGUCUUAGGUGCUAGUUUUAUCCUAAUCAUGCCAUUUCCAAUUUAAUUAUUCAAAGUUACAUAUUAUGUGCAGUUGCCAACUUGCCAUGUUGUGAGAGGGUGGAUCUUUGUAUUAUUGACAAUGAGAUUGGUCGGUGGUUAAUAAUGUACAAGUUGACGGUUUCUUUUUAUCUUUAAUUUAACUUUCAAUGGGCUUGCACCGGAUGAAUGUGAGGGAAAAGAGAAAUAUACUCUACUUAUUAUCUCUUAGUCAGAUUUGUGAACAAUUAGUUCGUUUAUUUAGACUAUGUCAUUUUCACCUUAAUAAUUCAAGGCUAUAUGGAUUUGUAUAUGACACUGAGCUUGGUCCGUGUUUGUUAGUUUAUUCAGAUCAUGCCAUUUCCUCCUUUAUCCAAAGUUAUAUAUUAUAUAUUAUCCAUAAUCCGUCGGCUGUCAAACAAACGUGAGCCCUUAAAGCUUGGAGGAGACAUGAGCUUAAUUACAAGCAACUCCGUUUAUACGAAUAAAAAUUACAAAAAUACAUGAAACUUAUUAACAACAUGUAUGGCACGUUCAUUCGCCAAAAAAAAGAAAACAUGUGUGGCACGUUGUCCAUAUUUUAGUUGUUUCUGACCUAGCUAGAGUAGGCUAAGAAUAUUGUAAGGUCGGACAUGGAGAAGCCGUUGAAAUGAGAGCCGGAGCCGAUCGAGUAGGCGCCCAUGUCGUCGAACACGAGCCAGUCCCCCACGCUCAUCUCCGGUAGCCGGUACCCUGUCACGACGGUGUCAAGUGAGUCGCCCGUCGGUCCGAACACCGUUGAAGUGUACGUCUCCUCGCCGGUGCUUGGGGCGGCGAGCGGUCUUGGGCGCGGCACGUAGUCGUCCAUGAGGACGCAGUUGAGGGAGCCGUAGAGUCCAUCGUCGAUCCAGUACUCCCGCACCUCGCCGCGCGUGCGCUUGCCGAUGACCCGCGCCGCCAGCGUGAAGGCCGUCUCAGCAAAGUACCGUCCCGGCUCGCCGAUGACCUCCACGCACGGGAGGUCGCCGAAGUGCUCCGCCAGCGCGUCGCGGAUGACCGCCGCCGCCUCUUCGAAAGUGGUGCCUCCUGCCAUGAAGCCGCCGCCGACGUCGAGCACGCGCAUUGCCGGCAUGCCGAGCGCGGCGGCCGCGUCGAACGCCGCGCGCGCGGCCUCGAUGGCCCCGCGGUACACGUCGGUGCGGGUCCCUCCGCUGCCGAUGUGGAAGGACACGCCGGCCACGCCGAGGCCCGCGCGCUGCGCGGCGCGGAGCAACGGCACCACCUCGUCGGCGUGCGCGCCGUAUUUAGUGCCGAGGUCGACCUUGGCGUCGCCGUUGUCGGGGCCCUUGAUGCGGAGGAUGAGCUCGCAGCCGGGAUGGCAGCGCUUCACCUUGGCCACCUCCUCCUCGGAGUCGUACGUGGUGAGGUUGACGCCCACCUGCGCCGCGUACUCGAUGUGCUCCUCGGGCUUGCACGGGUUGGCGUACACGAUGCUGCCCUGCUCCACGCCGAGUGCGAGCACGGCCUCGAUCUCCCUGCGGCUGGCGCAGUCGAACCCGGCGCCGAGGGCGGCCAGCGCGCCGAGCAGCGCCGGCUCCGGAUUGCACUUGACGGCGUAGUACGCCCGCACGUCCGGGAGUGCGCGGCGCCAGCGCAUGUACAGGUCGACGACCCUGGCGAGGUCGAGGACGUAGAAGGCGCUGCGCACGCCCGAGCCGGCGAUGGAGCGCAUGAGGCUGACGGCGGCGUGCUUCUCCAUGAGCGCGUCCCGCUUGUAAGGGAGUACUUGCUUGUCCUUCACCCCCGGCGCCACCAGCACCGCCUGCAUGGGACUGCUUCCAACCAUGUCGACGGCGACGACGUGAUCACACACUUAAAUACGUAGUGAAAGAGUGUGAUCACGCGCGCGUACGAGUACUUCAAGGUUUCUCAACCUAGCUUGCUAACCUGAGGUUGCUCGAGCUAGACGCCAACGCGAUCGAGCAAUGCAAGUCGACUACCGAUGCCAAAUGCAGAUCGAGGAGGUGGAUCGAUGGCUUGGUCGAAUGCUUGUGUUGCCUGGCUGAGAUGAACUCGGCGUGGGUGGGUUAUAUAUAGUGCGCGGGGCCGGGGCUAGAGCAUAUCCAACAUGCGCCGGAUUUUAGCAGCGCGCUGGAAAAAUCGCUUUUUUUUUAAGCGCGCGCAGCCGGAAUGGGCGCUCUAACAGACACGCAAAAAACGCGCGCGCUAGCAAAACGGCACCGCGCGUCGCUUAUUUCGUGCGUCCGCUUCCACGCGCUGGAUAGGAGAGAGAGAGAGAGAGAGAGAGAGAGAGAGAGAGAGAGAGAGAGAGAGGUGGUGACGCCGCGACGACUUACCACGGGCUCGCGUUUGCCGGCGGUGUUGCUCCGGCUGCAUAGAGAUGAUCCGCUCUAGCGCCGGAAGCCCCAUGGUCGAUAGGACACCGCCGCUGACGCCCUUGGUCGAGGCACGAAAUCAGUCUCCCUCUCUCCCCUCUGCCUGUUUCGAUCGUGCGAUCUGCUUUCACCAGCAAAAAAAGAAAAACUGCCAAUGUGUAUGUCGUACUGAUUUUUUCCUGGUGUAAGUCACUUUUUUGGGUGAUCAGAUCUUCAUCCAACGGCCAAGAUCAUGAUGCCACUAUUCACUGAUUCCUCCUUGUCGGCCGCCAUCUCUCAGCCCAGCGCUAACAGCAGGCCUCCACCACCCGCACCGGUAGUNNNNNNNNNNNNNNNNNNNNNNNNNNNNNNNNNNNNNNNNNNNNNNNNNNNNNNNNNNNNNNNNNNNNNNNNNNNNNNNNNNNNNNNNNNNNNNNNNNNNNNNNNNNNNNNNNNNNNNNNNNNNNNNNNNNNNNNNNNNNNNNNNNNNNNNNNNNNNNNNNNNNNNNNNNNNNNNNNNNNNNNNNNNNNNNNNNNNNNNNNNNNNNNNNNNNNNNNNNNNNNNNNNNNNNNNNNNNNNNNNNAGUGCUUGCCACCGCCCUCAAGGCCAUCCCUCUAUGCCCCUCUCCCCAACCUCCUGUUUUGGCGUCGGCAGCCCCCGCACCUGUUAAUCUCCUUUUUCACUAUCGUUCUCAGUGUCGUCCCUGUCUUCGAUGAGGUCCCGGUUCGGCUUUAUCGUCAACAACGCAACUCGUGCUUCCUUCUUCCUUCGCAGUCAAAAUUGACUUACACAGAAAAAAUCCAGUCCAUGUACAUAUAAUUUGUUCACCACGAAGGAACCCUAGUAUGUUAUGAAGUUGAACUUCUAUAGGAUUUUGACACUAUUAUUAAUGAUGUUUAGCGAAUAAACUAGACUUAUCCACGUACUUUCAAAUACUCCCUCCGUCCAAAAAUACUUGGCACAUAAAUGGAUAAAAAUGGAUGUAUCUAAAACUAAAAUAUGUCUAAAUACAUUUAUUUUGCUGAUAAAUAUUUUCAGACGGAGGGAGUACCUUGGAACAACAACAACGCCAAGACGUCGAAAAUGAGCAAAAUCGGCGGAAUUGUGCAAGUGGCUAGACACGUCGCCGAGUAGGUGUAUGUCCGACUGGAUGUCGGACCACCACAGAGCUGUCACACUUUCUAUUUUGAUUUUUUUAAAGAUCAUAUCUAUUAUAAAAUUUCAUCAGAAGUACAAAGCAUCCCAAGCAUAAUAAAAAUUACAUGGAGAUUCCAAGUCCACCGAACGACCGGUAUUGCCGCCAGAAUGAGUCACCGACACGUCACUGUCGUCACUCCCCUACCGGAGCCGGCUUGACCUUGUCGAUGACAGUCGAAAAGUCUUCGUGCAUGUGCCCCUAAUGAAGGACCAGCACCCUGGAGUCGUAGUCGCCGCCGUGGAACCCUUGCAUAGAUUACAAGCACCCGACACCAAAUCUCACCACAUGACGAGAAAUCCUACCUCGCAACUCCAAGGACGGCAAGAAUCUACGACGGAGCUCCGUCGACCACCUCCAGACGGAUAAACUCGAGGAGGACUGGAGCCUAGAGGAAAAACUGAAAGAAGAAGUGACGCCAUCCAUCCAAGCGCUGCACCUGCAAGGACUAAAAACUCUAAGCUAAACUACUAACAGGAGCGAAGGCACCGAGAUUCUCCUCCCAGCCACCGACUGCCGAAGUGGUAGGCAGACGGGAGGCAAAUCAAUUUGCCAUAGCCGUCUAGGGUUAGGGGAGGAAAACCAGGAGAGAGUCUUCUGUUAUGAAUUUUAUGUUGAAUUAACACUAGUGGAAAAAGGCCAAUUUGUCCCGGUUCCAGAGGCCCAUUCGUCCCGGUUCUGGAUCCGAGACUAAAGGGUCGGGACUAAAGCCCAUGACCUUUAGUCCCGGUUUGCUCAUGAACCGGGACAUGUGGGGCUCCACGUGGCCGCUGCGGCUAGCCCCGGCAGGAGGGCCUUUGGUCCCGGUUGGUAACACCAACCGGGACCAAAAGGCAUCUACGCGNNNNNNNNNNNNNNNNNNNNNNNNNNNNNNNNNNNNNNNNNNNNNNNNNNNNNNNNNNNNNNNNNNNNNNNNNNNNNNNNNNNNNNNNNNNNNNNNNNNNNNNNNNNNNNNNNNNNNNNNNNNNNNNNNNNNNNNNNNNNNNNNNNNNNNNNNNNNNNNNNNNNNNNNNNNNNNNNNNNNNNNNNNNNNNNNGUUAAUUUAAUUAGGGGUUUCAUAUAUUGUGUUACUAGCUAAUAGAGAGAAGUGACCUCUCUUAUCUCCGUGCUUGGUCGACGCUACGUACUAUACGUAUAGAGGACUCGACACGCUAGCUAGUAAGAAAAUGAAGGAAAUCAUUAAGUACAUAAGAUCGUCAUGAACAUAUACAGAGAGAAGUGAUCGACCUCUCCUUCUCCGAGAGAUUGGUCGAACAACAAGUUUUCGUAUAUCUAUCCGACGCUACUAGCUACAUAUAUACAAUAUAAGAUCUGUUAUAAUCCUUAAUAUCUGAAGUCAAGUUCCACAUGGUAUCCUCCGGCUUUAUUGAUGACGUGGUCAAGAGAGAAUCCCGCCAAUUCCUCUUGAAUUGCUUUUAUGCGAUCAUGUGGUAGGAGCUCAUCCCGCAGCUGCCAGAUCUAAAUCGAAGAAGAGGGUCAAUACAUGUGUAUGAAUGAAACUCAACACAAAUGAUGGUAAUAAAAUACAAUUGUGAAUAUUUUUGCUUACGCACUUGAUAUUGUUUUUCAGAGUAGCCCCGCUUAUUCUUGGCCAUCUCGUUGUAAAUGAACUCGCAAAUGUAGUAUCCACAGAAAUCAUUUCCUUGUUCCUGCCACAAGCAUUUUACAAGAAAUAGAGGUCAAUGAAACUGAUAAGCAAGCAUGCUAAAUGGUAUUGAUGAAACUAGCUAGAAUCAAUGGGAGAUGCGCGGAACUAGGUAGCAGUACUUACUUUCGGGUGUUUAAAUGUCAGUUCGGUCGGCAGUCCUGGAGAAAUUGCGGUGAACUCUUUCCAAAACCUGUCAGACAAAGAAAAUAAUUACUUGAUAUCAGGAAAUGAACAAAGUUGCCGAUAUGGUGCGAUAAUGAUUGAUUGAACUUACUUCUGGAGUAUUCGAGUCAUGUCUGCAUAGUCCUCAAGAUCUUUUCGUCUCGAGUCUAAGACGGUUACUUCUCCCUUCUCAAGCUUAAUCACUAGGAGAAUAAAGUGGAAGCUACGCACGCAUGCACAACUCAUCAGUUACAUGACUAUAACCUCAAUUAAUAAUGAAAACAGAAUAUGCACAAGACAGUAACACUCACUUGAAGUUGUAAGGAAAGAAUAUUUUAUCUUUGGUUUGAUUUUUGAGCAACGAUUUUAGCAAGUGGUCCUUGGUUUCUGUGACAUUCUUUUGAACCAUCCAUUCAUGUAUGACAUUUGGGUUAAUGAACCCAAUGUCAUAGAUUUGUGCUUUUCUGCAUUCGAGGAUCUUCAAUCUGCAUAAUAUAGUGAGAAUAAUUAUAUAUACAUGCAAUGAAAGAGCUGAGAUGUAUAUAGAGAGACUUAAUUACAGAAAGUAGUACUUACAGACAGUAGCAAGCCAGAAGUGAUUUGUCGAGGGCCUUUUGAUUGUAGAACUGGAAAAACUCGUCAAAAUCAACAGUUAAUAGUUCUUGGCCAAUGAAGUCGUGGUCCUCUUUAAUUCUCAUCGACAAAGCAUCCUUCCCAGACUCGCUGCAGGUUUUCAUGUACCAAUUAUGGAGUCUUCGCAUCAUCAUUGUUACAGCAAGAGUUCCAUCUUUGACGAGAGGCUUCUCGUAAUGGUAUUUGAAUUCGUCCACCUCCAUUGUAUCAAAAUCUACAUCGUCGGGCAAGUAAUCACCAGGAUUGGUACCGGGCAGCAGCGGCUGAUUUGCGACGAUAUCGCUAGACACCUUGAGCGGGGGGAAUGAUUGGUUCUCCUGUUCUUUGAGCUGGGGAAUUUUUUUUCCCACUUCUUCGGUAUUUUAACCUUUUGUCAGUUGAAGUACUUCCCGACUGGCGUGCUUCUUGCAAUGUCUUUUUAAGACAGCGGAGAUGGUUGUUAUCCGGCGAACACGAUGGUGGUCGCUUCAUGGCAUUGAUAGUGCGCUUCGCUUUCACCAAAUCUAUCUUCUCCUCCGGAGGUGGAUGUUUCAUAGCUCUUCGUGUUUCAAAAAAGUCCUUCACUUGGGCUUGAACAAUCUUCGCGUUUUCCUCCACGGUCAUCUUGUAUGGUAACUUCUCUACAGGCUUGAGAGAUGGACCGAAUCUGUAUUGCCUCCCGCCUCUGGCUGUACUGCUAGACGCCGGAGUGGCAGCGGCUCUCUUCCGUUGCUGCCGACGAGUAGUAGAAGGAGGCAGAGUGGUCCGGCGCGCCGGAGCAGCCGGAGCGGCGGCGUUUGUGUUCUGCCGUUGCCGACGAGGCAGAGGAGGAGGCAGGCUGCUCGGACGCGCCAAAGCAGGCGGAGAAGGAGGCGGAGUGCCGCCCUCACACGCCGGAGAAGGAGGCAGAGUGCGCUGAUCACUCGCCGGAGGAGGAGGAGGCGGAGGCGGAGGCGGAGGCGUGAAGUUCCGAAGCUUGAUGUGCUCCUUCCUCCAUAGACAUGGAGUCUUCAGAGCAAGACCCAGUGAUACGUCCAUUUUGCAUCAUGUUUUCCUAUUGUUAUUUAUGUUGUUUUAUUGUAUAAUAAUGCUUUUUUGAGUAAUUCUAAUGCCUUUUCUCUCAUAAUAUGCAUGGUAUGUACCAAGGGGGAGAAUUCUGGCUGCUGGAAAUCUGGACCUGAAAAAGCUACGUCAAGCUACCUAUUCUGCACAACUCCAAAUGAGCUGAAACUCCCCGAGGAUUUUUAUGGAAUAUUUAAGGAAUAUUGGAGCAAAUAAGUACCACAGGAGGGCCACCAGGUGGGCACAACCCACCUGGGCGCGCCAGGAGGCCCAGGCGCGCCCUGGUGGGUGUUGCGCUCCUCGGCCCACCUCCGGUGUCCAUCUUAUGGUAUAUAAGUCAUUUUGACCUAGAAAAAACAGGGGAGUACAUUCGAGACGAAGCGCUGCCGCCUCGAGGCGGAACUUGGGCAGGAGCACUUUUAUCCUCCGGCGGAACGAUUCCGCCGGGGGAACUUCUCUCCCGGAGGGGGAAAUCAUCGUCAUCAUCAUCACCAACAACUCUCCCAUCUUGGGGAGGGCUAUCUUCAUCAACAUUUUCACAACACCAACUCCUCUCAAACCCUAGUUCAUCUCUCGCGUUCAAUCUUUGUAUCAAAACUAUAGAUUGGUGCCCGUGACUAGUAGUGUUGAUUACAUCUUAUAGUUGAUUACUAUAUGGUUUAUUUGGUGGAAGAUUAUAUGUUCAGAUCCAUUAUGCUAUUCAAUACCCCUCUGAUCUUGAGCAUGUUUAUCAUUUGUGAGUAGUUACUUUUGUUCUUGAGGUCACGGGAGAAAUCAUGUAGUAAGUAAUCAUGUGAACUUGAUAUGUGUUCGGUAUUUUGAUGGUAUGUAUGUUGCCAUUCUCUUAGUGGUGUCAUGUGAACGUCGAAUACAUGACACUUCACCAUAUUUGGGCCUAAGGGAAUGCAUUGUGGAGUAGUUAUUAGAUGGUGGGUUGCGAGAGUGACAUAAGCUUAAACUCCAGUUUAUGCGUGAUGUCUACUACACAACCUUCUUCUUGUAGACGUUGUUGGGUCUCAAAGUGCAGAGGUUUGUAGAACAGUAGAAAAUUUCCCUCAAGUGGAUGACCUAAGGUUUAUCAAUCCAUGGGAGGCAUAGGAUGAAGAUGGUCUCUCUCAAACAACCCUGCAACCAAAUAACAAAGAGUCUCUUGGGUCCCCAACACACCCUGCAAUGGUAAAUUGUAUAGGUGCACUAGUUCAGCGAAGAGAUGGUGAUACAAGUGCACUAUGGAUGGUAGAUAUAGGUUUUUGUAAUCUGAAAUUAUAAAAACAGCAAGGUAGCAAGUAAUAAAAGUGAGCGGAAUCGGUAUUGCAAUGCUAGGAAACAAGGCCUAGGGUUUAUACUUUCACUAGUGCAAGUUCUCUCAACAAUAAUAACAUAAUUAGAUCAUAUAACAAUCCCUCAACAUGCAACAAAGAGUCACUCCAAAGUCACUAAUAGCGGAGAACAAACGAAGAGAUUAUUGCAGGGUACAAAACCACCUCAAAGAUAUUCUUUCUGAUCAAUUCAUUGGGCUCUUCCUAUAAGUGUCACAAACAACCCUAGAGUUUGUAGUAAAAUAACACCUUAAGACACACAUCAACCAAAACCCUAAUGUCACCUAGAUACUCCAAUGUCACCUCAAGUAUCCAUGGGUAUGAUUAUACGAUAUGCAUCACACAAUCUCAGAUUCAUCUAUUCAAACCAACACAAAGUACUUCAAAGAGUGCCCCAAAGUUUCUACCGGAGAGUCAAGACGAAAACAUGUGCCAACCCCUAUGAAUAGAUUCCCAAGGUCACGGAACCCGCAACUUGAUCACCAAAACAUACAUCAAGUGGAUCAAUAGAAUACCCCAUUGUCACCACGGGUAUCACAUGCAAGACAUACAUCAAGUGUUCUCAAAUCCUUAAAGACUCAAUCCAAUAAGAUAACUUCAAAGGGAAAACUCAAUCCAUUACAAGAAGAUAGAGGGGGAGAAACAUCAUAUGAUCCAACUAUAAUAGCAAAGCUCGCGAUACAUCAAGAUCGUGUCGACUCAAGAACACGAGAGAGAGAGAGAGUGAGAGAGAGAGAGAGAGAGAGAGAACACAUAGCUACUGGUACAUACCCUCAGCCCCGAGGGUGAACUACUCCCUCCUCGUCAUGGAGAGCGCCGGGAUGAUGAAGAUGGCCACCGGUGAUGGACCCCCCCUCCGGCAGGGUGCCGGAACAUGGCCCCGAUUGGUUUUUGGUGGCUACAGAGGCUUGUGGCGGCAGAACUCCCGAUCUAGAUUAUUUUCUGGGGGUUUUGUAUUUAUAGGAGAGGUUGGCGUCGAGAACAAAUUAGGAGGACCCACGGGGAGUCCACGAGGCACAGGGGCGUGCACUCCACCCUUGUGGGCCCCACGGGACUCCCCUUUGAUAAAUUUUUUCCAGUAUUUUUUUUAUUUUCCAGAAAAAAUCUCCGUUGAUUUUUAGCGCAUUCCGAGAACUUUUAUUUCCGCACAAAAACAACACCACGGUAGUUCUGCUGAAAACAACGUCAGUCCGGGUUAGUUCUAACCAAAUCAUACCAAAAUCAUGUAAAAGUAUUAUAAACAUGGCAUGAAUACAUCAAAAUUAUAAAUACGUUGGAGACAUAUCAGCAUCCCAAGCUUAAUUCCUACUUGUCCUCGAGUAGGUAAAUGAUAAAAACAGAAUUUUUGAUGUGGAAUGCUACCUAACAUAUUUAUCAAUCUAAUCUUCUUUAUUGUGGCAAGAAUAUUUAGAUCCAUAAGGUUCAAAACAAAAGUUUAAUAUUGACAUAAAAAUAAUAAUACUUCAAGCAUACUAACAAAGUAAUUAUGCCUUCUCAAAAUAACAUGGCCAAAGAAAGCUUAUCCCUACAAAAUCAUAUAGUUUGGCUAUGCUCCAUCUUCAUCAUACAAAAUAUUCAAAUCAUGCACAACCCCGGUUUAAGCCAAGCAAUUGUUUCAUACUUUAGUAUUCUCAAACUUUUUCAACUUUCGUGCAAUACAUGAGCGUGAGCCAUGGACAUAACACUAUAGGCGGAAUAGAAUGGUGGUUGUGGAUAAGACAAAAAGAGGAGAUAGUCUCACAUCAACUAGGCGUAUCAAUGGGCUAUGGAGAUGCCCAUCAAUAGAUAUCAAUGUGAGUGAGUAGGGAUUGCCAUGCAACGGAUGCACUAGAGCUAUAAGUGUAUGAAAGCUCAAAAAGAAACUAAGUGGUUGUGCAUCCAACUUGCUUGCUCAUGAAGACCUAGGGCAUUUGAGGAAGCCCAUCGUUGGAAUAUACAAGCCAAGUUCUAUAAUGAAAAAUUCCCACUAGUAUAUGAAAGUGAAGAAAUAGGAGACUCUCUAUCAUGAAGAUCAUGGUGCUAAUUUGAAGCACAAGUGUGGUCAAAGGAUAGUAGCAUUGCCCCUUCUCUCUUUUUCUCUCAUUUUUUUGAUUGGCUUCUUUGUCCUCUCUUUUUUUGAUUGGCUUAUUUGGCCUUUUUUUAUUUCCUCACAUGGGACAAUGCUCUAAUAAUGAUGAUCAUCACACUUUUAUUUACUUACAACUCGAUAUUUAGAAAAAAAUAUGACUCUAUAUGAAUGCCUCCGACGGUGUACUGGGAUGUGCAAUGAAUCAAGAGUGACAUGUAUGAAAGAAGCAUGAAAGGUGGCUUUGCCACAAAUACGAUGUCAACUACAUGAUCAUGCAAAGCAAUAUGACAAUGAUGAAGCGUGUCAUAAUAAACGGAACGGUGGAAAGUUGCAUGGCAAUAUAUCUCGGAAUGGCUAUGCAAAUGCCAUAAUAGGUAGGUAUGGUGGCUGUUUUGAGGAAGGUAAAUGAUGGGUGUAUGGUACCGGCGAAAGUUGCGCGGCACAAGAGAGGCUAGCAAUGGUGGAAGGGUGAGAGUGCGUAUAAUCCAUGGACUCAACAUUCGUCAUAGAGAACUCACAUACUUAUUGCAAAAAUCUACAAGUCAUCAAAACCAAGCACUACACACAUGCUCCAAGGGGAAGGGUUGGUUGGAGUUAACCAUCGCGCGAUCCCGACCUCCACACAUAAGGAGGACAAUCAAAGAGAUACCUUAUGCUUCAAAUUUGUUACACAAUGGUUACCAUACGUGCAUGCUAUGGGACUCACAAUCCUCAACACAAGUAUUUCUCAAAUUCACAAUUACACCACUAGCAAGACUCUAAUAUCACCAUCUUCAUAUCUCAAAACAAUCAUAAAGAAUCAAACUUCUCAAAGUAUUCAAUGCACUUUAUAUGAAAUUUUUUCUUAUAUCCCUCUUGGAUGCCCAUCAUAUUAGGACUAAAAUCAUAACCAAAGCAAAUUACCAUGCUGUUUAAGACUCUAAAAAUAAUAUAAGUGAAGCAUAAGAGUUCAUCUAUUUCUUCAAAAUAAAACCACCAUCGUGCUCUAAAAGAUAUAAGUGAAGCACUAGAGCAAACGACAAACCACUCCAAAAGAUAUAAGUGAAGAUCAAUGAGUAGUCGAAUAAUUAUGCAACUAUGUGAAGACUCUCUAACAUUUAAUAAUUUCAGAUCUUGGGAUAUUAUUCAAACAGCAAGCAAAAAAAAUGACGCUCCAAGCAAAACACAUAUCAUGUGGUGAAUAAAAAUAUAGCCUCAAGUAAACUUACCGAUGAACGAAGACGCAAGAGGGGAUGCCAUCCGGGGCAUCCCAAAGCUUAGGCUCUUGGUUGUCCUUGAAUAUUACCUUGGGGUGCCUUGGGCAUCCCCAAGCUUAGGCUCUUGCCACUCCUUAUUCCAUAGUCCAUCGAAUCUUUACCCAAAACUUGAAAACUUCACAACACAAAACUCAACAGAAAACUCGUAAGCUCCGUUAGUAUAAGAAAAUAAAUCACCACUUUUGGUACUAUUGUGAACUCAUUAUAAAUUUAUAUUGGUGUAAUAUCUACUGUAUUGUAACUUCUCUAUGGUUCAUACCCUCCGAUACUACUCAUAGAUUCAUCAAAAUAAGCAAACAACACAUAGAAAACAGAAUCUGUCAAAAACAGAACAAUCUGUAGUAAUCUGUAACUCUCGAAUACUUCUGUAACUCCAAAAAAUCUGAAAUAAAUUGGUGGACGUGAGGAAUUUGUCUAUUAAUCUUGUUCCAAAAUAAUCAACUUAAAACAUCUCUUCUGUUAAAAAUGAAAAUAUUCUCGUUAGUGCAAAGUUUCUGUUUCUUACAGCAAGAUCGCAUUAACUUUCACCCAAGUCUUCCCAAAGGUUCUACUUGGCACUUUAUUGAAACAAAAGCUAUAAAACAUGAUUACUACAGUAGCUUAAUCAUGUGGACACACAAAAACAGUAGGGGUAAAUAUUGGGUUGUCUCCCAACAAGCUCUUUGCUUUAAUGCCUUUUUAAGCUAGGCAUGAUGAUUUCAAUGAUGCUCACAUAAAAGAUAAGAAUUGAAACAUAAAAAGAGCAUCAUGAAGAAUAUGACUAAAACAUUUAAGCCUAACCCACUUCCUAUGCAUAGGGAUUUUGUGAGAAAACAACUUAUGGGAACAAGAAUCAACUAGCAUAGGAAAGCAAAACAAGCAUAACUUCAAGAUUUUCAACACAUAGAGAGGAAACUUGAUAUUAUUGCAAUUCCUACAAGCAUAUAUUCCUCCCUCAUAAUAAUUUUCAGUAGCAUCAUGAAUGAAUUCAACACUAUAACUAUCACAUAAAGAACUAUUUUCAUGAUGUACAAGCAUAGAAAUUGUAUUACUCUCCACAUAAGCAAAUUUAUUCUCAUAAAUAGUAGUGCAAGCAAACUCAACGGAAUAACUAUCAUGUGAUACUUUAUUCACAUAAUCAAUUUGAGCAUUAGAAUCAUGAUGACAAGUUUCAUGGAUAUCAUUACUCUUUAUAGCAUAAAUGUCAUCACAAUAAUCAUCAUAGAUAGGAGGCAUGCUAUCAUCAUAAUAUAUUUUCUCAUCAAAACAUGGGGGACUAAAAAUAUCAUAUUUCUUAAACAUAGCAUCCCCAAGCUUGUGGCUUUGCAUAUCAUUAGCAUCAUGGAUAUUCAAGGAAUUCAUACUAACAACAUUGCAAUCAUGCUCAUCAUUCAAAUAUUUAGUGCCAAACAAUUUAGUGCAUUCUUCUUCUAACACUUUGGCACAAUUAUCAGAAUCCUUAUUUUCACGAAAGACAUUAAAGAGAUUAAGCAUAUGAGGAAACCUCAAUUCCAUUUUUUUAUAGUUUUCUUUUAUAGACUAAACUAGUGAUAAAAUAAGAAACAAAAAGAUUCAAUUGCAAGAUCUAAAGAUAUACCUUCAAGCACUCACCUCCCCGGCAACGGCGCCAGAAAAGAGCUUGAUGUCUACUAUACAACCUUCUUCUUGUAGACGUUAUUGGGCCUCCAAGUGUAGAGGUUUGUAGGACAGUAGAAAAUUUCCCUCAAGUGGAUGACCUAAGAUUUAUCAAUCCGUGGGAGGCGUAGGAUGAAGAUGGUCUCUCUCAAACAACCCUGCAACCAAAUUACAAAGAGUCUCUUGUGUCCCCAACACACCCAAUACAAUGGUAAAUUGUAUAGGUGCACUAGUUCAGCGAAGAGAUGGUGAUACAAGUGCAAUAUGGAUGGUAGAUAUAGGUUGUUGUAAUCUGAAAUUAUAAAAACAGCAAGGUAGCAAGUAAUAAAAGUGAGCGGAAACGGUAUUGCAAUGCUAGGAAACAAGGCCUAGGGUUCAUACUUUCACUAGUGCAAGUUCUCUCAACAAUAAUAACAUAAUUAGAUCAUAUAACAACCCCUCAACAUGCAACAGAGUCACUCGAAAGUCACUAAUAGCGGAGAACAAAUGAAGAGAUUAUUGUAGGGUACAAAACCACCUCAAAUUAUUCUUUCCGGUCAAUCCAUUGGGCUAUUCCUGUAAGUGUCACAAACAGCCCUAGAGUUCAUAGUAAAAUAACACCUUAAUACACACAUCAACCAAAACCCUUAUGUCACCUAGAUACUCCAAUGUCACCUCAAGUAUUCAUGGGUAUGAUUAUACGAUAUGCAUCACACAAUCUCAGAUUCAUCUAUUCAAACCAACACAAAGUACUUCAAAGAGUGCCCCAAAGUUUCUACCGGAGAGUUAAGAUGAAAACGUGUGCCAACCCCUAUGCAUAGAUUCCCAAUGUCACGGAACCCGCAAGUUGAUCACCAAAACAUACAUCAAGUGGAUCAAUAGAAUACCCCAUUGUCACCACGGGUAUCCCACGCAAGACAUACAUCAAGUGUUCUUAAAUCCUUAAAGACUCAAUCCAAUAAGAUAACUUCAAAGGGAAAACUCAAUCCAUUACAAGAAGAUAGAAGGGGAGAAACAUCAUAUGAUCCAACUAUAAUAGCAAAGCUCGUGAUACAUAAAGAUCGUGCAGACUCAAGAACACGAGAGAGAGAGAGAGAGAGAGAGAGAGAGAGAGAUCAAACACAUAGCUACUGGUACAUACCCUCAGCCCCGAGGGUGAACUACUCCCUCCUCAUUGUGGAGAGCGUCGGGAUGAUGAAGAUGGCCACCGAUGGUGGAUCCCCCCUCCGGCAGGGUGCUGGAACAGGGUCCCGAUUGGUUUUUGGUGGCUACAAAGGCUUGCGGUGGCGGAACUCCCGAUCUAGGUUAUUUUCUAGGGGUUUCUGUAUUUAUAGAAGAGGUUGGUGUCGAGAAAAAGUUAGGAGGACCCACGGGGAGUCCACAAGGCAUAGGGGCACGCCCCAGGGGUUGGGCGUGCCCUCCACCCUCGUGGCCCCCACGGGACUCCCCUCUGAUAACUUUUUGUUCCAUUAUUUUUUAUAUUUUAUAGAAAAAAUCUCCAUUGAUAUUCAGCACAUUCCGAGAACUUUUAUUUCUGCACAAAAACAACACCAUGGUAGUUCUGCAGAAAACAGAUUCAGUCCGGGUUAGUUCUAACCAAAUCAUACCAAAAGCUUGUAAAAAUAUUAUAAACAUGGCAUGAAUACAUAAAAAAUUAUAGAUACGUUGGAGACGUAUCAAUGUGCUAUUCCGUAAGGGACUGAUUGGAUCCAAAAGUUGAAUGCUAUGGUUAGAAUUUAUUCUUAAUACUUUUCUCGUAGUUGCGGAUGCUUGCGAGUGGGUUAAUCAUAAGUAGGAGGUAUGUUCAAGUAAGAACAACACCUAAGCACCAGUCCACCCACAUAUCAAAUUAUCAAAGUACCGAACACGAAUUAAGUCAACAUGAUGAAAGUGGCUAGAUGAAAUUCUCGUGUACCCUCAAGAACACUUUGCUUAUCAUAAGAAACCGCUUUGGCCUGUCCUUUGCCUCAAAAGGAUUGGGCUAGCUUGCUGCACUUUUGUUACUACUAUUGUUACUUGCUCGUUACCAAAUAUCUUGCUACCAAACUACUCCACUAUUUACGAUUUUAGCACUUGUAGACAUUACCUUGCUGAAAACCACUUGUCAUUUCCUUCUGAUCCUCGUUGGGUUCGACACUCUUACUUAUCAAAAAGGGCUACAAUUGACCCCAUACACUUGUGGGUCAUCAAGGCAAUUUUCUGGCGCCGUUGCCAGGGAGUGAAGCGCUCUUGGUAAGUGGAAAUUGGUAAGGAAAAAAUUAUUACUACGUGCUGAAAUUUAUUGUCACUUGCUACUAUGGAAAACAAUUGUUUGAGGGGUUUGUUCGGGGUAUCUUGACCUCGACCAGAACCACAAUUAGUCACCCCUCAACCUACUACACCUACUAAAAAUAUUGAAUAUGAAAUUCCUUUAGGUAUGUUAGAAUAACUGCUAGCUAAUCCUUAUGCAGGAGAUGGAACCGAACAUCCUAAUAUGCACUUGAUAUAUGUGGAUGAAAUUUGUGGAUUAUUUAAGCUUGCAGGUUUGCUAGGAGAUGAAGCUAAGAAGAAGGUUUUCCCUUUAUCUUUGAAGGGAAAAGCAUUGACAUGGUAUAGGCUAUGCGAUGAUAUUGUAUCUUGGAAUUGGAACCGUUUGAAACUGGAAUUUCAUCAGAAAUUUUAUCCUAUGCAUCUAGUUCAUCGUGAUCAGAAUUAUAUAUAUAAUUUUUGGCCUCGUGAAGGAUAAAGUAUCGCUCUAGCUUGGUGGAGGCUUAAGUCAAUGUUAUAUUCAUGCCCCAAUCAUGAGCUCUCGAGAGAAAUUAUUAUUCAGAAUUUUUAUGCUUGGCUUUCUCGUAAUGAUCAAUCCAUACUCGAUACUUCUUGUACUGGUUCUUUUAUGAAGAAGACUAUUGAAUUCUGGUGGGAUAUUUUAGAAAGAAUUAAAUGCAACUCUGAAGAUUGGGAACUCGAUGAAGGUAAAGAGUCAAGUAUUGAACCUAAGUUUGAUUGUGUUAAAUCCUUUAUGAAUACCAAUGCCUUUCGAAAGUUUAGCACUAAAUAUGGACUUGACUCUGAGAUAGUAGCUUCCUUUUUUGAAUCUUUUGCUACUCAUGUUGAUCUCCCUAAGGAGAAGUGGUUUAAAUAUCACCCACCAAUUAAAGAAGAAAUUAAAGAACCGGUAAAAGCUAAAGAAGAAACUAUCAUUUACAAUGUUGAUCCAGUUGUUCCCACUGCUUAUAUUGAAAAACCACCUUUUCCUGUUAGGAUGAAGGAACAUGCUAAAGCUUCAACUGUGGUUAACAAAAGUUAUGUUAGAGCACCCAAACCAUCUGAACAAAUCAAAGUUGAACCUAGUGUUGCUAUGAUUAAAGAUCUCUUAGUUGAUAAUAUUGAUGGGCAUGUUAUUUAUUUCUGUGAUGAAGCUUCUAGAAUGGCCAAACCUGAAGGAAAAGAUAAACAUAGACCAGUUGUGGGCAUGCAUGUUGUCUCAGUUAAGAUAGGAGAUCACUGUUAUCAUGGGUUAUGUGACCUAGGUGCUAGUGUAAGUGCUAUUCCUUUCUCACUAUAUCAAGAAAUUAAAGAUGAAAUAGCACCUACUGAGAUAGAAGAUAUAGAUGUUACUAUUAAACUUGCUAAUAGAGAUACUAUAUCACCAAUUGGGAUCCUUAGAGAUGUUGAAGUCUUGUGUGGGAACAUAAAAUACCCUACUGAUUUUCUUGUUCUUAGCACCCCACAAGAUGAAUUUUGUCCCAUUAUAUUUGGUAGACCUUUCUUGAACACCGUCAAUGCUAAAAUAGACUGUAAGAAACAAACUGUCGGUGUUAGCUUUGGUGAUGAAUCUCAUGAGUUUAAUUUUUUCAAGUUUAGUAAACAACCUCAUAAGAAAGAUUUGCCUAGUAAGGAUGAAGUUAUUGGUCUUGCUUCUAUUCUUGUGCCUCCUACUGAUCCUUUGGAAAAAAUAUAUGCUAGACGAUGAAAAUGAUUUGCAUAUGCGUGAAAGAAAUGAAGUAGAUAGAAUCUUUUUCCAACAACAACCUCUGCUUAAACACAAUUUGCCUAUUAAAACUCUAGGAGGUCCUCAUCCACCUAAAGGUGAUCCUGUGUUUGAACUAAAACAAUUACCAGACACUUUGAAAUAUGCUUAUCUUGAUGAAAAGAAGAUAUAUCCUGUUAUUAUCAGUGCUAACCUUUCAGAACAUGAAGAGGAAAGAUUAUUGGAAGUUCUAAGGAAGCACAGGGCUGCUAUUGGAUAUACUCUUGAUGAUCUUAAGGGCAUUAGUCCCACUCUAUGUCAGCACAAGAUUAAUGUAGAACCUAAUGCUAAAUCCGUUGUUGAUCACCAACGUCGGUUAAAUCCGAAAAUGAAAGAAGUGGUAAGAACGGAAAUAUUAAAACUUCUGGAAGCAGGUAUAAUCUAUCAUAUAGCUGAUAGUAGAUGGGUAAAUCUUGUUCAUUGUGUCCCUAAGAAGGGAGGUAUUACUGUUGUUCCUAAUGAUAAGAAUAAGCUUAUUCCGCAAAGAAUUGUCACAGGCUAUAGAAUGGUAAUUGAUUAUAGAAAAUUAAAUAAAGCUACUAGAAAAGAUCAUUACCCUCUGCCUUUUAUUGAUCAAAUGUUGGAAAGAUUAUCUAAGCACACACAUUUUUGCUUCGUUGAUGGAUACUCCGUCUUUUCAAAAUACCUGUUUUACAAUCUGAUCAAGAAAAGACCACUUUUACUUGUCCUUUUGGAACAUUUGCUUAUAGACUAUGCCUUUCGGUUUAUGUAAUGCACCUGCUACCUUUCAAAGAUGUAUGACUGCUAUCUUCUCUGAUUUUUUUGAAAAGAUUGUUGAAGUUUUUAUGGAUGACUUUUCUGCCUAUGGGAAGUCUUUUGAUGAUUGUUUAAGCAAUCUUGAUCGAGUUUUGCAGAGAUGUGAACAAACAAAUCUUGUCUUGAAUUGGGAGAAGUGCCACUUUAUGGUUAAUGGGUAUUGUCUUGGGCCACAAAAUUUCUGAAAGAGGCAUUGAGGUGGAUAAAGCCAAGGUUGAUGCAAUUGAGAAAAUGCCAUGUCCUAAAGAUAUCAAAGGCAUUCUCAGUUUCCUUGGUCAUGCUGGUUUCUAUAGAAGGUUUAUCAAAGACUUUUCUAAAAUUUCUAGGCCUCUUACUAAUCUUUUGCAAAAGGAUAUUCCUUUUGUGUUUGAUGAUGAUUGCAUGGAAGACUUUGAAACACUAAAGAAAGCCUUAAUCACAGCACCUAUUGUUCAACCACCUGACUGAAACUUGCCUUUUGAGAUUCUGUGUGAUGCUAGUGAUUAUUCUGUUAGUGUUGUUCUAGGACAAAGAGUUGACAAGAAACUAAAUGUUAUUCAUUAUGCUAGUAAAACUCUAGACAGUGCUCAACGAAACUAUGCUACUACUGAAAAGGAACUCUUGGCAGUGGUGUUUGCUUGUGAUAAAUUCAGAUCUUACAUUUUUGAUUCUAAAGUAAUAGUUCACACCGAUCAUGCUGCUAUAAAAUAUCUUAUGGAAAAGAAAGAUGUUAAACCUAGACUCAUUAGUGGGUUCUUCUGCUACAAGAAUUUGAUUUGCAGAUCACUGAUAGAAAAGGAGCAGAGAACCCCGUAUCUGAUAACUUGUCUAGACUUGACACUACAAAAAAAAGACACAAACGUGACAUUUUGGGCCGAACGAAAUUUUUUCUGUCAUACUUAUGACACUUCUACGAUGAUAAUUGUGACAAAACCCGGUAUCAUCGUACAUGUGGUGGGCUCCUACUUCUAUGACAAAAAAUCAUGACUGAAAAUGCGCUUUUCGUCCUGGGCGGGUGCUACCUCUUGAGCACUGUGUUGGUUUUCCCUUGAAGAGGAAAGGGUGAUGCAGCAAAGAAGCGCAAAUAUUUCCCUCAGUUUUUGAGAACCAAGGUAUCAAUCCAGUAGGAGGCUGCACGCAAGUCCCUCGUACCUACACAAACAAACAAGAACCUCGCAACCAACGCGAUAAAGGGGUUGUCAAUCCCUUCACGACCACUUGCCGAAGUGAGAUCUGAUAGAGAUAAUAAGAUAAGAUAAAUAUUUUUGGUAUUUUUAUGAUAUAGAUUGAAAAGUAAAUAUUGCAAAAUAAAGUAGAUCGGAAACUGAUAUGAUGAGAAAUAGACCCGGGGGCCAUAGGUUUCACUAGUGGCUUCUCUCAAGAUAGCAUAAGUAUUACGGUGGGUGAACAAGUUACUGUCGAGCAAUUGAUAGAAAAGUGCAUAGUUAUGAGAAUAUCUAGGCAUGAUCAUGUAUAUAGGCAUCACGUCCGUGACAAGUAGAUCGAAACGAUUCUGCAUCUACUACUGUUACUCCACACAUCGACCGCUGUCUAGCAUGCAUCUAGAGUAUUAAGUUCAUAAGAACAGAGUAACGCAUUAGGCAAGAUGACAUGAUGUAGAGGGAUAAACUCAAGCAAUAUGAUAUAAACCCCAUCUUUUUAUCCUCGAUGGCAACAAUACAAUACGUGCCUUGUUGCCCCUGCUGUCACUGGGAAAGGACACCACAAGAUUGAACCCAAAGCUAAGCACUUCUCCCAUUGCAAGAAAGAUCAAUCAAGUAGGAGAAACCAAAUUGAUAAUUCGAAGAGACUUGCAAAGAUAACCAAUCAUACAUAAAAGAAUUCAGAGGAGAUUCAAAUAUUUCUCAUAGAUAGACUUGAUCAUAAACCCACAAUUCAUCAGAUCUCGACAAACACACCACAAAAAGAGCUACAUCGAAUAGAUCUCCAAGAAAAUCAAGGAGAACAUUGUAUUGAGAUUCAAAGAGAGAGAAGAAGUCAUCUAGCUAAUAACUAUGGACCCGAAGGUCUGUGGUAAACUACUCACAACUCAUCGGAGAGGCCUUGAUGUUGAUGUAGAAGCCCUCCGUGAUCGAUGCCCCCUCCGGCGGAGCGUCGGAAAAGGUUCCAAGAUGGGAUCUCACGGGUACAGAAGGUUGCGCCAGUGGAAAUAGGGUUUCGUGGUGCUCCAGGAUGUUUUUGGGGUACGUAGAUAUAUAUAGGCGAAGGAAGUCAGUCAGGGGAGCCACGAGGGGCCCACGAGGGUGGGGGGCGUGCCCACCCCUCUAGGGCACGCACUGGACCCUCGUGGACGCCUUAGCUGUUUCUUGACGUCCACUCCAAGUCUCCUAGAUUGCGUUUGUUCCAAAAAGAUCGCUCCAGAAGGUUUCAUUCCAUUUGGACUCCGUUUGAUAUUCCUUUUCCUCGAAACACUGAAAUAGAAAAAAAAACAAUUUGGGCUGGGCCGCUGGUUAAUAGGUUAGUCCCAAAAAUGAUAUAAAAGUGUAUAGUAAAGCCCAUAAACAUCUAAAACGGGUAAUAUAAUAGAAUGGAACAAUAAAAAAUUAUAGAUACGUUGGAGACGUAUUAAGCAUCCCCAGGCUUAAUUCCUGCUCGUCCUCGAGUAGGUAAAUGAUAAAAACAGAAUUUUUGAUGUGGAAUGCUACCUAGCAUAUUUCUCAAUGUAAUUUUCUUUAUUGUGGCAUGAAUGUUCAGAUCCAAAUGAUUCAAGAUGCAAGUUUAUAUUGACAUAAAAAUAGUAAUACUUCAAGCAUACUAACAAAGCAAUCAUGUCUUCUCAAAAUAACAUGGCCAAAGAAAGUUAUCCCUACAAAAUCAUAUAGUCUGGCUAUGCUCUAUCUUCAUCACACAAAAUAUUUAAAUCAUGCACAACCCCGAUGACAAGCCAAGCAAUUGUUUCAUACUUUUUUGUUCUCAAACUUUUUAAACUUUCAUGCAAUACAUGAGCGUGAGCCAUGGACAUGGCACUAUAAGUGGAAUAGAAUGGUGGUUGCGGAGAAGACAGAAAAAGGAGAAGAUAGUCUCAGACCAACUAGGCAUAUGAACGGGCUAUGGAGAUGCCCAUUAAUAUAUAUCAAUGUGAGUGAGUAGGGAUUGCCAUGCAACGGAUGCACUAGAGUUAUAAGUGUUUGAAAGCUCAACAAAAGAAACUAAGUGGGUGUGCAUAAAACUUUCUUGCUCACGAAGACAUAGGGAAAUUUGAGGAAGCCUAUGAUACAUCUCCAGCGUAUCUAUAAUUUUUUAUUGUUCCAUGCUAUUAUAUUACCCGUUUUGGAUGUUUAUGGGUUUUCCUUUACACAUUUAUAUCAUUUCUGGGACUAACCUACUAACCGGAGGCCCAGCCCGUAUUGCUAUUUUUUUGCCUAUUUUAGUAUUUCAAAGAAAAUGAAUAUCAAACGGAGUCCAAACAGAAUGAAACCUUCGAGAGCGUGAUUUUUGGAACAAACAUGAUCCAGAGGACUUGGAGUGCAAGCCAAAAAGCAGCCGAGGCGGCCACGAGGGUGGAGGGCGCGCCCACCCCUAUAGGGCGCACCCCCUAUCUCGUGGGCCCCUCGGGCUUCCUACGACGUACUUCUUCCUCCUAUAUAUACCUACGUACCCUGAAAACAUCCACGGAGCCAAUGAAACAAAAGUUCCACCGCCGUAACCUUCUGUAUCCGCGAGAUCCCAUCUUGGAGCCUUCGUCGGUGCUCCGUAGGAGGGGGAAUAGACCAUGGAGGGCUUCUACAUCAACGCCAUAGCCCCUCCGAUGAGUUGUGAGUAGUUUACCACAGACCUUCGGGUCCAUAGUUAUUAGCUAGAUGGCUUCUUCUCUCUUUUGGAUCUCAAUACCAUGUUCUCCCCCUCUCUUGUGGAGAUCUAUUUGAUGUAACUCUUUUUGCGGUGUGUCUGUCGAGAUCCGAUGAAUUGUGGGUUUAUGAUCAAGUUUAUCUAUGAGAAAUAUUUGAAUCUUCUCUGAAUUCUUUUAUGUAUGAUUGAGUUAUCUUUGCAAGUCUCUUCAAAUUAUCAGUUUGGUUUGGCCUACUAGAUUGAUCUUUCUUGCAAUAGAAGUGCUUAGCUUUGGGUUCAAUCUUGCGGUGUCCUUUCCCAGUGACAUUAGGGGAAACAAGGCACGUAUUGUAUUGUUGCCAUCGAGGAUAAAAAGAUGGGGUUUAUAUCAUAUUGCAUGAGUUUAUCCCUCUACAUCAUGUCAUCUUUCUUAAUGCGUUACUCUGUUCUUAUGAACUUAAUACUCUAGAUGCAUGCUGGAUAGCGGUCGAUGUGUGGAGUAAUAGUAGUAGAUGCAGGUAGGAGUCGGUCUACUUGUCGCGGACGUGAUGCCUAUAUACAUGAUCAUGCCUAGAUAAUCUCAUAAUUAUUCGCUUUUCUAUCAAUUGCUCGACAGUAAUUUGUUCACCCACCGUAAUACUUAUGCUAUCUUGAGAGAAGCCACUAGUGAAACCUAUGGCCCCCGGGUCUAUCUUUUAUCAUAAAAGCUUUCAAUCUACUUUUAUUUGCAUCUUUACUUUUCCAAUCUAUAUUAUAAAAUACCAAAAAUAUAUUUAUCCUAUCAUAAUAUCUCUAUCAGAUCUCACUUUCGCAAGUGGCCGUGAAGGGAUUGACAACCCCUUUAUUGCGUUGGUUGCGAGUUCUUUGUUUGUUUGUGUAGGUGCGUGGGACUUUUGAGGAGCCGCCUACUAGAUUGAUACCUUGGUUCUCAAAAACUGAGGGAAAUACUUACGCUACUAUUGCUGCAUCACCCUUUCCUCUUCAAGGAAAACCAACGCAAGCUCAAGAUGUAGCAAGAAGGAUUUCUAGCGCCGUUGCCGGGAGAGUCUUCGCUCAAGUCAAGACAUACCAAGUACCCAUCACAAACUCAUCUCACUCGCAUUUACAUUAUUUGCCAUUUGCCUCUCGUUUUCCUCUCCCCACUUCACCCUUGCCGGUUUAUUCGCCCCUCUUCCGUUCGAUCUUGUGACACCAUGUACCUUCUUUUUGCUUGCAGCUUUGCUUGCUAAAAGUUUAUGGAUCCUCAUCCACUUGCUAAUCUCUUUAAAAGAUCCAAUUAUGUUGAACCUAUUGCUAGUGAGUUAAGUGCACUAGAUUAUCUUUUUGAGGUUUUGCUUGAAAUUUGUGAAUCUGAAAAUUGUGAUGAAGUACUUUAUGAAGCAAUUCAUGAUAGAUCUUUGAAUAAAAAGCAUGAUUGCAAUGAUUUUAUUAUAAAUUCUAUUGAUGUCAAUUGUGCUAAUAAUAUGCAAAACCCUAAGCUUGGGGAUGCUAUUUUUCUAUGUCUACUACUUGUUGCAAUAAUCAUGAUUGGGGUGAUUCUUCUUAUGAUCUUGAAAAUUUAUUUAAGCCCCAUGAUGAAUAUGAGAUUGAUAAUAGUGUUUGCAAUAUUAUUGAAAGUGGGUUUGGAAGAGUGUCAACUUUAGAUCCCACAUAUUUGGAGUAUGUUCAAUCUUAUGAUAUUUUUGAUAAAAGUGGGUUUGGAGAGGUCAUGACUUUAGUUAAUGUUGAUCCCACUAUCUUGGAAGAGUGUCAACUUUGCAUGCAUGUGGAUCUUGUUAAAAAUAUGUUUUGUGAUAGCUAUAUUGUUGAAUUUUCUUAUGAUCCUACAUGUAAUUAUUAUGAGAGAGGAAACUAUGGUUGUAGAAAUUUUCAUGUUACUAAAUUAUCUCUCGUUAUGUUGAGAUUGCUAUUGUUUCUUUCCGCUUCCUUGCAUAUGCUAGUUUUUGCUUGCCUUGAUAAUUUGUUUGCCUAUAAGAUGCCUAUGCAUAGGAAUUAUGUUAGACUUAGAUGUGUUUGUCAUGUGUUUUAUGAUGCUCUCUUUAUGCUUCAAUUCUUGUCUUUCAUGUGAGCAUCAUUGAAAUCUCAAUGCCUAGCUCAGGGUGUUAAACGAUAACGCUAGUUGGGAGGCAACCCAAUUUUAUUUUUGCUUUUGUUUUUGUUUUUGCUUCUGUUUAGUAAUAAAUUUUGCAUCUUCCUUCUGUUUAGAUGUGUUUUCAUGUUUUAAUUAGUGUUUGUGCCAAGUAGAACCUAUAGGAUAACCUAUGAUGAUAGUUAAUUUGAUUCUGCUGAAAAACAGAAACUUUGCGCUCAUGAGAAAAAAUUCAAUAAAUCACAGAAACGUGCUUUCUCAUUGAUUCCUUUUUCUGUAGAUCAAUAGACAAAUUUUCCAGGACUUCCUAUUUUGGUAGGAUUUUUAGAGUUCCAGAAGUUUGCGUUAGUUACAGAUUUCUACAGAUUGUUCUGUUUUUGACAGGUUCUGCCUUUCGUGUGUUGUUUGCUUAUUUUGAUGCAUCUAUGGCUAGUAUUAAGUGGUAUGAACCAUAAAGAACUUGUAAUACAGUACGUUUACACCAAUAUAAAUAAAGAAUGAGUUCAUUACAGUACUUUAUGUGGUGGUUUUGCUUUCUUUCACUAACGGAGCUUAUGAGAUUUCCUGUUGAGUUUUGUGUUGUGAAGUUUUCAAGUUUUGGGUAAAGAUUUGAUGGACUAUGGAAUAAGGAGUGGCAAAAGCCUAAGCUUGGGGAUGCCCAUGGCACCCCAAGAUAUUCAAGAAUAGCCAAAAUCCUAAGCUUGGGGAUGCCCCCGGAAGGCAUCCCCUCUUUCGUCUUCGUUCAUUGGUAAGUUUACUUGGAGCUAUAUUUUUAUUCGCCACAUGAUAUGUGUUUUGUCUUGGAGCGUCAUGUAUGAUAUUAGUAUUUGAUUUUUAGUUUACCACAAUCAUCCUUGCUGUACACACCUUUUGGGAGAAGCCCACUUGAUUGAAAUUUAUUAGAAUACUCUAUGUGCUUCACUUAUAUCUUUUGAGCUAGAUAGUUUUUGCUCUAGUGCUUCACUUAUAUCUUUUAGAGCACGGCGGUGGCUUAAUUUUGUAGAAAUUUCUAGUCUCUCAUGCUUCACUUAUAUUAUUUUGAGAGUCUCUUAGAACAACAUGGUAUUUGCUAUGGUUAUAAAAUUGGUCCUAGAAUGGUAGGCAUCCAAGUUGGGUAUAAUAAAAACUAUCAUAGGAAGUGAAUUAGAUGCUAUGAUCAAUUUGAUACUUGAUAAUUGUUUUGAGAUAUGGAGGUGGUGAUAUUAAAGUCAUGCUAGUUGGGUGAUUAUGAAUUUAAAGAGUACAUGUGCUGAAGUUAGCAAGUCUCGUAGCAUGCACGUAUGGUUAAAGUUGUGUAACAAAUUUGAAACAUGAAGUGUCCUUGGAUUGUGCAUCCUUAUGAGUGGCGGUCGGGGACGAGCGAUGGUCUUUUCCUACCAAUCUAUCCCUCUAGGAGCAUGCGCGUAGUGCUUGGUUUUUGAUGACUUCUAAGUUUUUGCAAUAAGUAUAUGAGUUCUUUUGACUAAUGUUGAGUCCAUGGAUUAUACGCACUUUUACCUUUCCAUCAUUGCUAGCCUCUUCGGUACCGUGCAUUGCCCUUUCUCACCUUGAGAGUUAGUGCAAACUUCGUCGGUACAUCCAAACCCCGUGAUAUGAUACGCUCUAUCACACAUAAACAUCCUUAUAUCUUCCUCAAAAUAACCACCAUACCUACCUAUUAUGGCAUUUCCAUAGCCAUUCCGAGAUAUAUUGCCAUGCAACUUUCCACCGUUCUGUUUAUCAUCAUGACACGCAUUACUUUUGUCAUAUUGCCAUUGCAUGAUCAUGUAGUUGACAUCGUAUUUGUGGCAAGGCCACUUUGCAUAAUUUUUCAUACAUGUCACUCUUGAUUCAUUGCCCAUCCCGGUACACCGCUGGAGGCAUUCAUAUAGAGUCAUACCUUGUUCUAGUUUCGAGUUGUAAUUCAUGAGUUGUAACUCAAUACAAGUAUGAUGAUCAUCAUUAUUUGAGCAUUAUCCCCAGAAAAAAAGGCCAAAAGAAAAAAAAAGAAAGGCCAAAGAAAAAAAGAAAAAAAUAAAAAAAGGGAAAGGCCAAAAAGAAAAAGAAAAAGAAAGGCCCAAAAAAAGAAAAUAAAUAAAAAGGGGGCAAUGUUACUAUCUCUUUUUCCAUACUUGUGCUUCAAAGUAGCACCAUGUUCUUCAUAUAGAGAGUCUCAUAUGUUGUCACUUUCAUAUACUAGUGGGAAUUUUUCAUUAUAGAACUUGGCUUGUAUAUUCCUAUGAUGGGCUUCCUCAAAAUGCCCUAGGUCUUCAUGAGCAAGCAAGUUGGAUGCACACCCACUAGUUUUUCUUUUGUUGAGCUUUCAUACAUUUGUAGCUCUAGUGCAUCCGUUGCAUGGCAAUCCCUACUCCUCAUGUUGACAUCAAUUGAUGGGCAUCUCCAUAGCCCGUUAAUUAUCCUCGUCAAUGUGAGACUUUCUCCUUUUUUGUCUUCUCCACACAAUCCCCAUUAUCAUAUUCUAUUCCACCCAUAGUGCUAUAUCCAUGGCUCAUGCUCAUGUAUUGCGUGAAAGCUGAAAAAGUUUGAGAUUAUUGAAGUACUCCCUCUGUUCCUUGAUAUAAGGUGUAUAGGUUUUUGAGAAAAAAAACCAAAAUAUAAGGUGUAUUGUGUUGCACCACUCGUUUGGAUAAACUUUUUAGGGAUUUGAUUACAUUUCCUUAUAUCAAGCAACCUCCUCUAUUUUCUCAUGUCAAUUAGUCAGGUGCAAUCUUGCCCAAAACAUGUGAAAAUUUCCCUUCAUGUGCGUUCUUUAAUUUCCAUGCCAAAAACUAUACACCCUAUAUUUAGGAACCGAGUGAGUAUGAAAAAAUUGCUUGGCUUGUCAUCGGGGGUGUAGAAUUUGGGAACAUUUUUGUGUGACGGAAAUGAAGCAUAACCUAACUAUAUGAUUUUGUAGGGAUGAACUUUCUUAAGCCAUGUUAUUUUGAGAAGACAUAAUUGCUUUUAUUAGUAUGCUUGAAGUAUUACUAUUUCUUAUGUCAAUAUGAACUUUUAUUUUGAAUUAUUUGGAUCUGAACAUUCAUGCCACAAUAAAGAAAAUUACAUUGAGAAUUAUCCUAGGUAGAGUUCCACAUAAAAAAUUCUGUUUUUAUCAUUUAGCUACUCGAGGACGAGCGGGAAUUAAGCUUGGGGAUGCUUGAUAUGUCUCCAAUGUAUCUAUAAUUUUUUAUUGUUCCAUGCUAUUAUAUUACCCGUUUUGGAUGUUUAUGGGCUUUACUUUACACAUUUAUAUCAUUUUUGGGACUAACCUACUAACCGGAGGCCCAACCCGUAUUGUUGUUUUUUUUGCCUAUUUCAGUAUUUCGAAGAAAAGGAAUAUCAAACGGAGUCCAAACGGAAUGAAACCUUUGCGAGCGUGAUUUUUGGAACGAACAUGAUCCAGAGGACUUGGAGUGCAAGCCAAGAAGCAGCCAAGGCGGCCACGAGGGUGGAGGGCACGCCCACCCCUAUAGGGCGCGCCCCCUGUCUCGUGGGCCCCUCGGGCUUCCACCGACGUACUUCUUCCUCCUAUAUAUACCUGCUACCUCUUGAGCACUGUGUUGGUUUCCCCCGAAGAGGAGAGGAUGAUGCAGUAAAGUAGCGUAAGUAUUUCCCUCAGUUUUUGAGAACCAAGGUAUCAAUCCAGUAGGAGGCUACAGGAAAGUCCCUCGUACCUACACAAACAAACAAGAACCUCGCAACCAACGUGAUAAAGGGGUUAUCAAUCCCUUCACGUCCACUUGCGAAAGUGAGAUCUAAUAGAGAUAAUAAGAUAAGAUAAAUAUUUUUGGUAUUUUUAUGAUAUAGAUUGAAAAGUAAAUAUUGCAAAAUAAAGUAGACCGAAAACUUAUAUGAUGAGAAAUAGACCCGAGGGCCAUAGGUUUCACUAGUGGCUUCUCUCAAGAUAGCAUAAGUAUUACGGUGGGUGAACAAGCUACUAUCGAGCAAUUGAUAGAAAAGCGAAUAAUUAUGAGAAUAUCUAGGCAUGAUCAUGUAUAUAGGCAUCACGUCCGCGACAAGUAGAUCGAAGCGAUUCUGCAUCUACUACUAUUAAUCCACACAUCGACCGCUAUCCAGCAUGCAUCUAGAGUAUUAAGUUCAUAAGAACAGAGUAACGCAUUAGGCAAGAUGACAUGAUGUAGAGGGAUAAACUCAAGCAAUAUGAUAUAAACCCCAUCUUUUUAUCCUCGAUGGCAACAAUACAAUACGUACCUUGCUACCCCUGCUGUCACUGGGAAAGGACACCGCAAGAUUGAACCCAAAGCUAAGCAGUUCUCCCAUUGCAAGAAAGAUCGAUCUAGUAGGCCAAACCAAACUGAUAAUUCAAAGAGACUUGUAAAGAUGACCAAUCAUACAUAAAAGAAUUCAGAGGAGAUUCAAAUAUUUCUCACAGAUAAACUUCAUCAUAAACCCACAAUUCAUCGGAUCUCGACAAACACACCACAAAAAGAGUUACAUUGAAUAGGUCUCCAGGAAAAUCAAGGAGAGCAUUGUAUUGAGAUUCAAACAGAGAGAAGAAGUCAUCUAGCUAAUAACUAUGGACCCGAAGGUCCGUGGUAAACUACUCACAACUCAUCGGAGAGGCCUUGGUGUUGAUGUAGAAGUCCUCCGUGAUCGAUGCCCCCUCCGGCGGAGCGUUGGAAAAGGCUCCAAGAUGGGAUCUCACGGCUACAGAAGGUUGCGGCGGUGGAAAUAGGGUUUCGUGGUGCUCCUGGAUGUUUUUGGGGUACGUAGAUAUAUAUAGGCGAAGGAAGUCGGUCAGGGGAGCCACGAGGGGCCCACGAGGGUGGGGGCGUGCCCACCCCCUAGGGCGCGCCCUGGACCCUCGUGGCCGCCUCAGCUGCUUCUUGACGUCCACUCCAAGUCUCCUGGAUUGCGUUUACUCCAAAAAGAUCGCUCCUGAAGGUUUCAUUCCGUUUGGACUCCGUUUGAUAUUGCUUUUCUUCGAAACACUGAAAUAGGGAAAAACAACAAUUUGGGUUGGGCCUACGGUUAAUAGGUUAGUCCCAAAAAUGAUAUAAAAAUGUAUAGUAAAGCCCAUUAACAUCCAAAACGGGUAAUAUAAUAGCAUGGAACAAUAAAAACUUAUAGAUACGUUGGAGCCAUAUCAAGCAUCCCCAAGCUUAAUUCUUGCUCGUCCUCGAGUAGGUAAAUGAUAAAAACAGAAUUUUUGAUGUGGAAUGCUACCUAGCAUAUUUCUCAAUGUAAUUUUCUUUAUAUUGGCAUGAAUGUUCAAAUACAAAUGAUUCAAGAUGAAAGUUUAUAUUGACAUAAAAAUAGUAAUACUUCAAGCAUACUAACAAAGCAAUCGUGUCUUCUCAAAAUAACAUGGCCAAAGAAAGUUAUCCCUACAAAAUCAUAUAGUCUGGCUAUGCUCUAUCUUCAUCACACAAAAUAUUUAAAUCAUGCACAACCCCGAUGACAACCAAGCAAUUGUUCCAUACUUUUAUGUUCUCGAACUUUUUCAACUUUCACGCAAUACAUGAGCGUGAGCCAUGGACAUGGCACUAUAAGUGGAAUAGAAUGGUGGUUGUGGAGAAGACAAAAAAGGAGAAGAUAGUCUCACAUCAACUAGGCGUAUCAACAGGCUAUGGAGAUGCGCAUUAAUAGAUAUCAAUGUGUGUGAGUAGGGAUUGACAUGCAACGGAUGCACUAGAGUUAUAAGUGUAUGAAAGCUCAACAAAAGAAAGUAAGUGGGUACACUUUGGUGUACACUAUGCUGGGUGCGCCUAGCAUUUUAGCAUUUAUUUUCGUAUUAAAAUUAAUUUCAGAUUAUUAAUAAAACUUUGAAAAUUAAUAGAAAUUAAACUGUACCUCGGAUGAAAAUGUUUUCUACAUGAAAGUUGCUCAGAAUUUCGAGACGAAUCCGGAUGCGCGGUCCGUUCGUCUGCCACACGUCUCUAGCAUAGUGAACCUGCAACCUUUUCCCUCCGGUUCAUUUGUCCGACAGACGUCGAGAACCGGGAAAACAUUCCCGGAUGUUUCCUCCCUUCGCCGGUAGCGUGUAGCACCGCGUUAGAACACGUCUAGCUCUGUCUGUUGUCCUGUUAUGCACUUGCAUGCUAUGUAUUUACUGUUUCUUCCCCCUCUUCUCUCCGGUAGACCUCGAGACCAUUGCUGAGGCCACUGUGAUCGAAUACGUCGACGACGACCCUCCUUCUUGUCUGAGCAACCAGGCAAGCCCCCCCCCUAUCAUCUCGAUAUCGCCCAUUCUAUACUCUCAUGCUUGCAUUAGAUUUUGCUACUGUUAUGUAUUGCUCCUAUUCUGAUGCAUAGCCUGCUUUUGUAACCUACUAUUGUACCUUACCUGCUUAUCCUAAACUGCUUAGUAUAGGUUGGUAAGUGAUCCAUCAGUGACCCCCACUUGUCCUUGUUGCCCCUGCUUCAUCUUCGAUGACUCGAUCAACAUGAUCGACGACCAGAGCCCGACACCUCACAUCACAUCACGCCCCUUUUGUUGCUCGACUCUGCAGAGCUACUAUCGAGUGCCAAGGGUGAUCCCUCAUAACGCACUCCUGGUAAUAAUUCUGUAGUGUAGCUAUUCGUCCGUGGUCAUCAAGGGUGAUUUCCUCUUUCACCAUUCCUGAUACGGCUCUGUCAUUCAACACCUCAAGUGUGAACCUCGAGGGUGGUCCCUCUUAUGUUCACCUUGAUGAUUACAUUGAGUGGAAUCCUCCGUGGGUGAUUCCUCGGGUUUUCCCCUUGAUGUUUGGACACAUAGUUACAAUGACUUUACUUGAGACCUUGGUGAAAGACGGGCGGGCCCGGAGAGCACCCGCAAGAUAAUGACGUGGCAUGGCCGGGCAUUCUGAGCCCUUGUCGUAAGUCCACGAGACGGGGCGACAGGGUCACUUUCGAUCGUGAGUCUCUUCUCAUCUCCGCAAGCUAAUAAUACACUAUGGUUUGGGUAUUUGUUCUGAGUUGGCCUCUGGCCUUUACGCACUAACCACCACGCGAUAAUAGAUAUGGGCCUCGACGUCGCAGUAUCAGCUGAAGCUUUGUCAGACGUCUAGUUCAGUAGUGCGGCACGGCUGGGCCGGCACCAUCCAUGUAGAAGUGGAGCCUGGACCCGCCCUGCACGCAACGACCCGGAGUGCAAGGGGCGAUGGGCCCAGACCCCGGAGUGCUUAGGAGGUAGACCGACGGGGACCUCUCUGCUGAGCCUAGGUAGGGCUGCGACGUGUUGAUCUUCCGAGGGCGGGCAUUGACCCCAGAAAGGUGUGUCCGGCCAGAGUGAUCGAGCGUGUUGGGUAACAUGGUGCACCCCUGCAGGGAAGUUAUAUAUUCGAAUACCGUGUCCACGGUACUGGACGUUCAGACUUAUAUCCUGAUCUUAUACAACUACAAAUGGAUACUUAAGAUAUGUGGCCCCGGGAUUGCUUUCUCGCAGGAGUCGAGGAAGGAUCUCUGGGCAUUAAUGUUACAACAUGUUUGUUAAAUAUUGAACUGUUAUUCUUUACUCUACAUGCCGCAAGAUGCUCGGAGCUGCGUGAAGAUGCUAGUCUUUGAUAGGCUAGGCCUUCCCCCUCUAUUCUGGCAUUCUGAAGUGCAGUCCAUAGAUACAACCCUUCCAUUUGAUACAAAUGCAUACUUAGUAUAGAUCUGAUGCUUGCGGGUACUUUGGAUGAGUACUCACGGUUGCUUUGCUACCCCUUUUACCCCUUCUUUCUUCUUUCCGGUUGAUGCAACCAAAUGGUGGAUCCUUGGAGCCAGAUGCCACCGCCGAUGGACGCUACUACAUGGAGGCCGUCGACGACCAAGAGUAGUUAGGAGGUCACAGGCAGGAGGCCUUGCCUCUUCGAUCGUUGUUGCUUUUGUGCUAGCCUUCUUAAGGCAUCCUUGUUUAACUUAUGUCUGAACUCAAAUAUUGUUGCUUCCGCUGACUCGCUUUUGUAUCGAGCUUAUGUAUUCGAGCCCUUGAGGCCCCUGGCUUGUAAUAUAAAGCUUGCAUUAUUUUGAUUUGUGUCUAGAGUUGUGUUGUGAUAUCUUCCCAUGAGUCCCUGAUCUUGAUCGUACACAUUUGCGUGUAUGAUUCAUGUACGAUUGAAUCGGGGGCGUCACAGGUGCCAUGGGCAUCCCCAAGCUUAGGCUCUUGUCAGUCCUUAUUCCAUAGUCCAUCAAAUCUUUACCCAGAACUUGAAAACUUCACAACACAAAACUCAACAGGAAAUCUGUAGGAUCGGAAGUAUGUCUAGAGGGGGGGGUGAUUAGACUACUUGACCAAAUAAAAACUUAUCCUUUUCCCUAUUUUAUUCUUUGGUAGAUUUUAGCUAACUUAGCACAAGUCAAGAAAUCUUAACACAAUUCAAGCAAGCAUGCAAAGAGUAUAUGAGCAGCGGAAUGUAAAGCAUGCAACUUGCAAGAAUGUAAACGGAAGGGUUUGGAGAAUUCAAACGCAAGUGGAGACACGGAUGUUUUUGUCGUGGUUCUGAUAGGUGGUGCUAUCUUACAUCCACGUUGAUGAAGACUUCAACCCAUGAAGGGUAACGGCUGCGCGAGUCCACGGAGGGCUCCACCCAAGAAGGGUCCACGAAGAAGCAACCUUGUCUAUCCCACCAUGGCCGCCGCCAAUGAAGGACUUGCCUCACUAGCGGUAGAUCUUCACGAAGUAGGCGAUCUCUUUGCCCUUACAAACUCCUUGGUUCAACUCCAUAAUCUUGUCGGAGGCUCCGAAGUGACACCUAGCCAAUCUAGGAGACACCACUCUCCAAGAAGUAACCAAUGGUGUGUUGAUGAUGAACUCCUUGCUCUUGUGCUUCAAAUGAUAGUCUCCCCAAAACUCAACUCUCUCUCACAGGAUUUGGAUUUGGUGGAAAGAAGAUUUGAGUGGAAAGCAACUUGGGGAAGGCUAGAGAUCAAGAUUCAUAGGGUAGGAAUGGAAUAUCUUGGUCUCAACACAUGAGUAGGUGGUUCUCUCUCAGAAAAUGUAAGUUGGAAGUGUAGGUUCGUUCUGAUGGCUCUCUCCACGAAUGAAGAGGAGGUGGAGGGGUAUAUAUAGCCUCCACACAAAAUCUAACCAUUACACACAACUUGCCAAUCUCGGUGGGACCGAAUUGAGAAACUCGGUCGGACCGAUUCAACAAAUCUAGUGACCGUUAGGAUUUUUGGUGGGACCGACAUGCAACUCGGUAGGACCGAUAUGGUUAGGGUUAGGGCAUAACGUAAUCUCGGUGAGACCGAUUACACAAACUCGGUAAGACCAAUUUUGGUAAUAAGCUAACCAAAGAGUUGGUCAGGUAAACUCGAUGGGACCGAUUCGCUCAUUCCGGUGAGACCGAAAUGUUACGAAAGGGAAACAGAGAGUUUACAUUGCAAUCUCGGUGGGAUCGAUCGCUCAUCUCGGUGGUACCGAAACGUUACGAAGGGAAACAAAGAGAUUACAAUCCCAUCUCGGUGAGACCGAGAUCCCUAUCGGUGAGACCGAUUUGCCUAGGGUUUGUGGCAGUGGCUAUGACAUCUGAACUCGGUGGCGCCGGAUAGAAAGAAUCGGCAGGGCCAAGUUUGACUUUUGGUUUAGGUCAUAUGUGGAUGUGAGAAGGUAGUUGAGGGCUUUGGAGCAUAUCACUAAGCAUUUUGAAGCAAGAACCUCAUUAAGCAACACCCCAUCCCUCCUUGGUAGUAUUGGCUUUUCCUAUAGACUCAAUGUGAUCUUGGAUCACUAAAAUAUAAAAUGUAGAGUCUUGAGCUUUGCGCUUGAGCCAAUCCUUUUGUCCUUAGCAUUUUGAGGGGUCCACUUUUCUCAUCCAUGCCAUGCCAUUCAUUGAGCUUUCCUGAAAUAUUUAUCUUGGAAUAGCAUUAGCUCAAUGAGCUAUAUGUUGUUAGGAAUUACCAAAACCACCUAGGGAUAGUUGCACUUUCAAUCUCCCCCUUUUUGGUAAUUGAUGACAACAUAUAGAUCAAAGCUUCGACAAAUGAUAAUAAGAUUGAAAAUCGACAAAUGAUAAUAAGAUUGAAAAACAUUGUCGCUUUGAGAAGUAUGUGAAAUGUAAGAGCUCCCCCUAAAUUUGUGCAUAGUUUAAGAUUUGCUUUGGACUGCAAAUGCACAAUGAGUUAGGAUCAUGAGUUACUCUCCCAUGUCACAUACAUCUUGGUGAAGCACUCAAAAUGAUAAUAAUUAAAUACAUGCACUCAUCACCAAGCAAAGUGAAUGAUCAUAUAGAGAUAAAAGGAUAAUGUCAUCCAACAAGCAUUAAUGUAGCAUAGCAUAUGAUCAAACACAUGAUCAUCCAAGUAUCACACAUGCAUAAAUUAUAUCAAACAAGCAAACAAAGUUCAACCACCAAAACAAGAGAGAAUAAAAAGCAACACUCUCUCUCGAAGCCUAUGAUCUAUACAUUUUUCUCCCCCUUUGGCAACAAGUUAGCAAAAAGUUUAUAGAAAAUGCAUAGUACUAAAUCGACUCUCAGGCUUGGUCUUCAGCUGGUGGUGUAGAAAUAACGCCAAGGACGAAAGCAUCAGUUGAUGAAGAUGGAGCUGGUGGAGUAGGUGCUGGAGCUAGUGGCACUGAAGUUGUAGCUGGUGCAGAUGAAGUUGCUCUGGUGUCUGGAACAGCCACUACAGCAGAUCUCUAUGCUCUGGGCACUCUAGCAAACGCAUCAGCGGUAGUCUUGCCCUUCCUCUCCUGCAUGUCAUCCUGAAGUUGCUCAACAACUGACUGUGUCUUAGUGACUUUCACAUCCAAGUCAUAGAACUUCUGCUCCAUGAUCCUCUCCAGGCUCUCCUGGUUUUGAGUCAGAGUGGCCAAUCCCUUCUCAAUCCUCAGAGUGGAGGCAAUCAAGUAGCCAAGCUGAUCUUACUUGCUCUUCAGGAAAUACUGAGAUGCCUCAUCAAUGGUUGGCAUCUUUGUAGCCUUUUCAGUCCUUGCCUUCUCCUUCUUCGCUUGUGCUUGCACAAAAGAUGGUUCAUUUUCAUCCAUAACCACUGUGUUGUCCUCAAAAUAUGGGUAGAUGGGCAUGUGUUCCUUGUCCAAGAGGUAUGUGCCUGUGCCCAUCUUGGAGUUGAUGAGCUCCUAGAUCUGUGGGGCAUACCCGCAACUUCUCUUUUGGUCAGCAACAGUCCUCUUGAUAGUCUCAAUAAUUAAGCUCAUGACCUUGAACUUCUGAGGCACAUCAAAUAUGUGAAGAAGGUUGAUAGCAUGGCCUCUGGUCAUCUUGUGAUCACCUGACUUAGGCAAAAGAGUGUGCCUGAGGAUCCACUUGAUUGUUGGCAAUCCUGAUAGAAGGUAAUGUACUGAUCCAAACUUGUGUGUUUCAAUAGCAGCAUCUGGGAUCUCUCUGUACAUAUGUGCCAUGGAGUUGUGAUCCUUCUUCUUCUUAGCAUAGACAUCCAAGUCAUCCUCUUCCUCCUUAGGUGCAUUGAUCAGAUUUGCCCAUUCUUCAACUGUUGAUUGAUACCUAGUACCUUCAGACAUCCACACAAUCUUUCCAUCUGGAUAGAAGUGAGAUGUGGAGUAGAACUGCAUUAUAAGCUCAUCAUUCCACUUUGUGAGUGAGGGAGUCCUGGACUAGGGGUGUCCGGAUAGCCGAACUAUCAUCAUCGGCCGGACUCCAAGACUAUGAAGAUACAAGAUUGAAGACUUCGUCCCGUGUCCGGAUGGGACUUUCCUUGGCGUCGAAGGCAAGCUUGGCGAUACGGAUAUGUAGAUCUCCUACCAUUGUAACCGACUCUAUGUAACCCUAGCCCUCUCCGGUGUCUAUAUAAACCGGAUGGUUUUAGUCCGUAGGACAUAACAACAAUCAUACCAUAGGCUAGCUUCUAGGGUUUAGCAUCCUUGAUCUCGUGGUAGAUCUACUCUUGUAAUACCCACAUCAUCAAUAUCAAUCAAGCAGGACGUAGGGUUUUACCUCCAUCAAGAGGGCCCGAACCUGGGUAAAACAUCGUGUCCCUUGUCUCCUGUUACCAUCCGCCUAGACGAACAGUUUGGGACCCCCUACCCGAGAUCCGCCGGUUUUGACACCGACAUUGGUGCUUUCAUUGAGAGUUCCUCUGUGUCGUCACCGAUAGGCUCGAUGGCUCCUUCGAUCAUCAACAACGACGCGGUCCAGGGUGAGACUUUUCUCCCCGGACAGAUCUUCGUAUUCGGCGGCUUUGCACUGCGUGCCAAUUGGUUUGGCCAUCUGGAGCAGAUCGAAAGCUACGCCCCUUGCCGUCAGGUCAGAUUUGGAAGUAUGAACUUCACGGCUGACAUCCGCGGAGACUUGAUCUUCAAUGGAUUCGAGCCACAGCCGAGCGCGCCGCACUGUCACGAUGGGCAUGAUUUAGCUCUGUUGCGGGACAGUGCCCUGGAGGCCACACACGAGUCCGCUCCGACCCUCGAUUCGGAGCCGGCUGUGCAGAUCGAGGACGGGUGGUUAGACACCGCCUCGGGGGCUGCAACCUCUACGGUGAUAGAGCCGAAUACUGACUUUGUCCCUUCUGAAGCUCGUGACUCCAAGGUGCCGGACUCCUUGCCGGACUCCGAACCUCCCGCGCCCCCUCCAAUCGAAUCCGAUUGGGCGCCGAUCAUGGAGUUCACCGCGGCGGACAUCUUUCAGCACUCACCUUUCGGCGACAUCCUGAGUUCGCUAAAGUAUCUCUCGUUAUCAGGAGAGCCCUGGCCGGACUGCGGUCAGGACGGUUGGGAUGCGAACGACGAAGAAAUUCAAGACCCACCCACCACCCACUUAGUAGCCACUGUCGACGACUUAACCGUCAUGCUAGACUUCGACUCCGAAGACAUCGACGGUAUGGACGACGAUGCCGGAGACGACUAAGUACCAGCGCCUACUGGGCACUGGAAAGCCACCUCGUCAUACGACAUAUACAUGGUGGAUAUCCCAAAGAAUGGGAAUGGCGAAGGAACAGCGGAGGAAGACCCCUCCAAGAAACAGCCCAAGCGUCGGCGUCAGCGGCGCCGCUCUAAAUCCCGCCACAGCAAGAAUGGCGAUUCCGGCACCGGAGAUAAUAAUACCCCAGACAGUGCCGAAGACAACCCCCUCCAGCAAGAUUCAGCGCAGGAGGACGGAGAUGCCAGCCCUCAUGAGAGAGCGGCAAACGAAGAGGUAGAGGAUGAUAAUUACAUGCCUCCCUCCGGAGACGAGGCAAGCCUCGACGACGACGAAUUUGUCGUGCCUGAGGAUCCCGUCGAACAAGAGCGUUUUAAAUGCAGGCUUAUGGCCAUGGCAAACAGCCUCAAGAAAAAAUAGCAACAGCUUAGAGCUGAGCAGGAUCUGCUAGCCGACAGAUGGACUGAAGUCCUUGCGUCCAAAGAGCAUGAGCUCGAACGCCCCUCCAAAAGCUACCCCAAACGCAAGUUGCUCGCCCGAUUAGAGGAGGAGGCAUAUAAACCUGCAUCACCAGAGCACAAUGCGGCUGACCGUCCACCUCGUGGCCGCGACAGAGAGGCCUCUAGGCCCUCCACUAGAACCGUACCCCGGCAUCGCUCGAAAAGCACAAGGCCACAGGGGAACGCUCCGGACUUGCCAGAUAUAUUGGAGGAUAAGGCAAGACAAUCAAGAUCGAUCUACGGAUCGCGUGGGCGCCCCAUGAUACGCGACGACAAUCGUCGCGCCGGACACAGGAAGUCCGGCCGGGCCGAGCACAGUAGACAAAGCUCGUUGGAGCUCCGUCGCGAUAUAGCCCAAUACAGAGGCGCCGCACACCCACUAUGCUUCACAGAUGAAGUAAUGGAUCAUCAAAUCCCCGAAGGGUUUAAACCCGUGAAUAUUGAAUCCUAUGAUGGCACAACAGACCCCACGGUUUCGAUCGAAGACUAUCUCCUUCAUAUCCACAUGGCCCGCGGUGACGGUCUUCACGCCAUCAAAUACCUCCCACUCAAGCUUAAAGGACCAGCUCGGCAUUGGCUUAACAGCUUGCCAGCAGAAUCAAUUGGAUGUUGGGAGGACCUGGAAGCCGCAUUCCUUGAUAACUUCCAGGGCACGUAUGUGCGACCACCAGACGCUGACGACCUAAGCCACAUAAUUCAGCAGCCAGACGAAUCGGCCAGACAAUUCUGGACACGGUUCUUAACUAAGAAAAAUCAAAUCAUCGACUGUCCGGAUGCGGAGGCCCUCGCGGCCUUCAAACAUAACAUCCGUGACGAGUGGCUUGCCCGGCACCUGGGACAGGAAAAGCCAAAAUCCAUGGCAGCCCUCACAUCACUCAUGACCCGCUUCUGCGCGGGAGAGGAUAGCUAGCUAGCCCGCAGCAACAACCUCAGCAAAAAUUCUGGCAGUCCGGAUACAAAGGACCGCAAUGGCAGGUCGCGUCGCAACAAGAACAAACGCCGCAUUAACAGCGACAAUAAUGAGGACACGGCAGUCAAUGCCGAAUUCAGAGGCUCCAAACCCGAUCAGCGGAAAAAGCCAUUCAAAAGAACUACUACGGGUCCGUCCAAUUUGGACCUAAUACUCGAUCGCUCGUGCCAGAUACACGGCACCCCCGAAAAGCCAGCCAACCACGCCAACAGGGACUGUUGGGUAUUCAAGCAGGCAGGCAAGCUAAUUACCGAAAACAAUGGCAAGGGGUGCAUAGCGAUGACGAAGAAGAGACCCGACCACCAAACAAUAGAGGAUAGAAGGGUUUCCCCCCACAAGUGCGGACGGUGAAUAUGAUAUACGCAACCCACAUACCCAAGAGGGAGCGGAAGCGUGCACUCAGGGACGUAUACGCGAUGGAGCCAGUCGCCCCGAAGUUCAACCCAUGGUCCUCCUGCCCGAUCACUUUUGAUCGAAGGGACCACCCCACCAGCAUCCGCCACGGCGGAUUCGCCGCAUUGGUUUUAGACCCAAUCGUCGAUGGAUUUCACCUCACCAGAGUCCUGAUGGACGGCGGCAGCAGCCUAAACCUGCUUUAUCAGGACACAGUGCGCAAGAUGGGCAUAGACCCCUCAAGGAUUAAACCCACAAAGACGACCUUCAAAGGCGUCAUACCAGGUGUAGAGGCCAAUUGUACGGGCUCAGUUACACUGGAAGUGGUCUUCGGAUCCCCGGAUAACUUCCGAAGCGAGGAGUUAAUCUUUGACAUAGUUCCGUUCCGCAGCGGCUAUCAUGCUCUGCUCGGACGGACCGCGUUUCCAAAGUUCAACGCGGUGCCGCACUACACAUACCUCAAGCUCAAGAUGCCAGGCCCUCGAGGAGUCAUCACGGUCAACGGAAACACCGAACGCUCCUUCCGAACGGAGGAACAUACAGCGGCUCUCGCGGCAAAAGUACAAUGCAGCCUCUUAAGGUAAUUCUCGAGUCCGGCCGUUAAGCGACCGGACACGGCUAAACGCGCCCGGAGUAACCUACAACAAGACUACCUGGCACGCUCCGAGCACGCGUGGCAAUGCGGCCCCAACCCCAGCCCUCGCAAGAUCGCAAGACUGGUUCUUCGCGUACAUCAUUACGCUCUGGAGAUACCAUGGGCAUAGGGGAAGGGGCACGAGCACGACAGGCCCAGAAUGCGGCUUAACCACAUCAAGGGCUCCCAAGUGUGUCAUUCCUUUUUUUCUUUUUCUUUCUUACCCACAGGACUCCGUUCACCAGAGGCCCUGUCCGGCAGUAGACCGGCCGAACUCACGAUCCAACAGCCAGGGAAGGAGAAAGGCUACGACGAAUAUCCAGGUGGUCUCCAUUACGAGCACUAAAUCUAUUUUAUACACCAUUCCGCAGCCUACCCCUAGAGGGGGACAUGUUUAAUAGUCCCAUCCCUUGCUCAUCGCACUAUUUGUAUCGUUCUGCAUUCAUGGCAGUAUUUCUUGAAUAAACAAUGCAGCACCUUUUUGCUUAUAAUUGCAUUCCUUUCUUAUACAUAUGUUCAUUUAUGACAUGUCGCAUCCGUACAUUUUGGUACGGCUAAAUACACCAGGGGCUUAAGUUCCCCACAUUAUGGUGUGAUAAGUCCGAACACUUUUACAAGUACGACACCCCGAACUUAUAGCAUUAUAUGCAUCGGCUCCGAAUCAUGUCAUGGGUCAAUAGUUGGGUUUGCCCGGCUCCCAUGUUUUGGUACCUUACGUUCCGUUCUAUCGGCUAAGGUAGCACUGGGAGAACCACUGCGAUUGCGCCCCAGUUGAGCUGGGCGAGCGCCUCAGUGGAGAAAGCUAAAACUGACCGUCAUGAUGAGGCGAGAGCCGGUCGCUGUUCGAGAGGUUUUUUCGAGUCCCUAAAGACUUAUGCCGCUUAGAGCGAGGAACCGGCUUUGUCCGGCCCAGGCGUGGAUAGCGCCCCGAAUUCGGCCUUCCGAACACUAGGGGCUUCGCCAAAAUUUAAAAUUAUAGAAUUCUAUGGCUAAGUGAGAGUGUUCAAGCAUUAUAAGUCUGGUUGCCUAGUUCGUUGUGUUGAGCGCCUCCCUAGAUGGACCCAUAUAUGGGAACAAGAGUGCUCAAAUUUAUCCCGAACACCCCAGCACUCGUGGCAUGGGGGCUGAAGCCGACGACUUGCCAUCUCUCAAAUUUGAUAAACAGCCGCACAGAAGGUAAUAUUUUAAAUCAACAAGCGUUGCUUAGCGCAUAUGAACAAACUUUUCAGCGCGCAGGAUAACAAAAUGCGAGUCUACUCAAAUAUUACAUUAUUGGAGCACUCACCCGCAAUAGUGCAGGCACCCUUCAGGACACUCUUGUAAUACAUCUCGGGCGUGCAAUACUCCUUGCCUGGCGGUGGCGCGUCUGUCACAAGCUUCUCAGCAUCCAUCUUGCCCCAGUGCACCUUAGCACGGGCAAGGGCCCGACGGGCACCAUCAAUACAGGUGGAUCGCUUGAUGACCUCAACCCAUGGACAAACAUCCACCAGCCGCCGCACCAGGCCGAAGUAGCUCCCAAGCAUGGCCUCAUUGGGCCACAGCCGAACUAUGAGGCCCUUCAUGGCCUAUUCGGCCACCUUGUGGAGCUCGACCAGCUGCUUCAGCUGGUCGCUAAGGGGCAUCGGAUGUCCGGCCUCAGCAUACUGAGACCAGAAGACCUUCUCCGUCGAGCUCCCCUCCUCGGCCCUGUAGAAAGCGGCAGCAUCGAACACGCUGCGGGGCAGAUCUGCGAACGCUCCUGGAGAGCUCCGAAUUCGGGUAAGUAACAGGUAAUUCACAUUCACAUGCUUGCUUUGCAUGAAAAAUGCCUUACCCGCCGCUAUUUUCUUCAACGCCUCGAUUUCCUGAAGGGCCUUGUGGGCUUCGGCCUUAGCGGCUUUGGCGCUCUCAAGAGCCGAGGCAAGCUCGGACUCUCGAGUCUUCGAGUCGCGCUCCAUACUCUCAUGCUUUUCCACGAGAGCCUGGAGCUCUUGCUGUACUUCCGCCACCCGUGCCUCUUGCUUCUCUCGCCCGGCGCGCUCCACGGCCGCAUUACGUUCGGCCGCGGACACCGCCUCCUUCAGGGUCGCCACCUCAUUCAUGGCCCCUGAAGUACCCACGUUAUCCUUGUCAUUUCUCUUGCAACCAAAUCCUUUUCUGUAAGGUACAACUUUAGUAAGGUGUUACUCACCUUCCUUGUCCUCGAGCUGCUUCUUGGCAUGGCCGAGCUCGUUCUCGGACCGCUCGAGGUUUUGCUUCAAAGCAUUGACCUCCGCAGUCAGUGCGGCAGAGGUCAGCAGCGCAGCCUGCAAUCCCAUAUUGACAUAUUUAUUAAGACUCCUGCAUAUAUCUUUUUAGGUCCUCAGUCCGGCUUUUCUUUCCGAACACCGAACCGGGCAUCAGGGGCUACUGUCUAUGCGGUACUAUUUUACAUAUAUUAAUAUUCUUACCUCAAAGCCUGAUAGAAGGCUACUGCAGGCUUCGGUCAGCCCACUUUUGGCGAGCUGAACCUUCUAAAUCACCGAACUCAUGACAGUGCGGUGUUCCUCCUCGAUGGAAGCGCCGUUGAGCGCCUCCAGCAAGUUAUUCGGCGCCUCCGGUUGGACGGAGGCCGCCGGCGUCACGGUCUUGCCCUUCUUACAAAGGGGCCGCCCGCCGGACUCCGGAACCACUGCAGGUUCCAGUGCGGAGUCCGGUACGAAGUCCGGGAGGUCGCCCUGUGGCACCUCCGGGUCCUCCUCCUCCGGGUGGGUCCUUCUCUGGGAUCCCACCUCGGCGUCGUCAGCGUCACGGGGGGAGGAGGCGGUUGGAAGUGAAGUACUGUUCACAUCCGACGUGCCCAAGGACCCGCUCGACGAAGCGGGAAGAUCGUCCUUGGGCGGACUGCAGGGUUGUAUGCGGCGUUAGAAAGACACCAUGUGGCAGAAAGAAAAAUCAUGAAGUCAUUCGGGAGUCCAGAUACUUACGAUCUCGCCAGGGGCUUGGCCCUCGGAGGCCAAUCCUCGUCGUCAUCACCGGCAUGGGCGGAACAGUCCGGGGGAAGAGUCCUUCCCUUCUUGGACCCUUCGGCCUCCCUCGUUGGGGAAGCCUUCCUUUUCUUCCCUCCCCCCGGUGGGGGAGAGGCCUUUUUCUUCUCCUCCUCGUCCUCGUGGGAGGAGUCCGCCUCGGAGUCAUCGGACACCUGAAAACGGGAACUCUUUCGAGUGCCCGUGGCCUCCUUCUUGGCCUUCUUCUCCGGCACCACGUGGGGUGCCGGAACCAGCAGCCCCGCUAAACGGGCGUCCGCUGGGUCUUCUGGCAAAGGGGCCGGAUAGUUAGUCUACUCGGCCUUCUUCAGCCAGUCCUGUCAAAGGAGAGGGAGUUUAGAUCCCGCAUGGAGUCAAACUAUGGAAAACAAGUGUCCCGUAAAGGGUAAAAUCGCUUACCUCGCUAGCCUGGCGCUGCGAGCUGAAUCUGCAAUCUUCGGUAGCGGAUGCAGGAGCCUCGACGCCCUUAAACAGCACCUUCCAGGCAUCUUCGUACCUAGUGUCGAAGAGCCCACUCAUGGUUCGGUGCUGGGCCGGAUCGAACUCCGGCGGAUGAGCAUGACCCGGACUACGUUGACAAGCUUGAGCUUCUUGUUCACUAGCUUUUGGAUGCAGGCUUGGAGUCCGGUCAGCUCCUCCGAAUCGCCCCAAGUCAGGCCACUCUCUUUCCAAGAGGUGAGCCGUGUGGGGAUGCCAGAUCUGAAUCCGGGGGCCGCUGCCCAUUUAGGGUCACGCGGCUCGGUGAUGUAGAACCACCCCGAUUGCCACCCCUUGAUGGUUUCCACGAAGGCACCCUCGAGCCAAGUAACGUUGGGUAUCUUGCCCACCAUGGCGCCUCCGCACUCCGCUUGACUGUCCUUCACAACCUUCGGCUUGACAUUGAAGGUCUUGAGCCACAAGCCGAAGUGGGGCUGGAUGCAGAGGAAAGCCUCGCAGACGACGAUAAACACCGAGAUGUUGAGGAUGAAAUUCGGGGCCAGAUCAUGGAAAUCCAGGCCGUAGUAGAACAUGAGCCCCCGGACAAAGGGGUGAAGUGGGAAGCCCAGUCCGCGGAGGAAAUGGGGAAGGAAUACCACCCUCUCAUGGGGCCUGGGGGUGGGGAUGGGCUGCCCCUCGUUGGGGAGCCGGUGCGCGAUGUCGCUGGACAGAUAACCGGCGCUGCGCAGCUUCUUGAUGUGCCCCUCUGUAACGGAGGAGGCCAUCCACUUACCUCCCGCUCCGGACAUAGUUGGAGAAGGUUGAGGUGAGAUGUGCGGACUUGGGCGCUGGAGCUCGAGUGCGCGGAGAUGGAUAAGCAAAGGAGGAAGAAGGCGUAGGUAAAAAGGUGGAUCCUUAUCCCCUUAUAUAUGGGCGGACGAAACUAUGCGUCCCCACCGGCCAGAUAAAACUCGCUUUUCUCCCAAGCGCCGCAAUCAAUGGCGCGGUUGGGUUACCCACGUCCGUAUUGAUGGGAAUCCCGGAAUAAGGGGAACACGAUCUCUGCUUCGACAAGACGUGCCAAGGAAACCGCUUCGCUAAACACGCUGAGGUGGUAUAAUAAAAACGAUUCAAGUAAAGGCUUGGUUGUGGUGUGACGUCACGCCACGAAACACGUCAGCAGAUUGAACUUGUGUUAAUAUUAUUCUCUCUACGGUGGAAUGUGGAAUUUAUUUUGCAGAGCCGGACAGUAUCCUGGUGUUCACAAUCUUCUAUAAAUUAUUCAGAGGAGGAACCCGCCUUGCAAUGCCGAAGACAAUAUGCGCGCCGGACUCGUCGUCAUUAAAGCCUGGUUCAGGGGCUACUGAGGGAGUCCUGGACUAGGGGGUGUCCGGAUAGCCGAACUAUCAUCAUCGGCCGGACUCCAAGACUAUGAAGAUACAAGAUUGAAGACUUCGUCCCGUGUCCGGAUGGGACUUUCCUUGGCGUGGAAGGCAAGCUUGGCGAUACGGAUAUGUAGAUCUCCUACCAUUGUAACCGACUCUGUGUAACCCUAGCCCUCUCCGGUGUCUAUAUAAAUCGGAUGGUUUUAGUCUGUAGGACAUAACAACAAUCAUACCAUAGGCUAGCUUCUAGGGUUUAGCCUCCUUGAUCUCGUGGUAGAUCUACUCUUGUAAUACCCACAUCAUCAAUAUCAAUCAAGCAGGACGUAGGGUUUUACCUCCAUCAAGAGGGCCCGAACCUGGGUAAAACAUUGUGCCCCUUGUCUCCUGUUACCAUCCGCCUAGAUGCACAGUUCGGGACCCCCUACCCGAGAUCCGCCGGUUUUGACACCGACAAUGAGCUUCUGCCCAACAAAGUCAUCCACUCCACAAGCAUUGAAACUGUCAUACACUCCUGGAUAAUGCUCUUCAUUUUCCCUGAUAUAUUUCCAGUCCACCAAUCUCAUAUCAUAGAUAAUUGGCUUCUUAUCAAGCAGCACUAUCUCAUAGAAGUCCUGUUGUUCCUUUGUAUGGAACCUGUAGUCCACAAUAGUCCUUCUCCUGACAGCAUAGGGAUCUGUCAAUCUCCAUUGUCUGAGACAUGCAUCCUUCCUGAGCUUCAUAUCCUCAGCGACUGGGUGAGCAUCAUUGUGACCUGGAAUUUUGGGCUUCAACUUCCUCAAGACAUGUUCCUCAUCAUCUUCUUCUUCAACAGGAGCUUCAGGAACUGGGGCCUUGUUCUUCUCUCCAGCAGGAAUGUUCCUUGUAUUCCUCUUGGGUGCAGCUUUAGGCUUUGGAGCAGCUGCCUUGGGAGCUUCUUUGGGCUUUGAUGAAGCAACCCCUCACCUGAUGGCAUCGCCCAUAAGCUUCUGAGCUUUAGGUGCUGGUGCAGCAACCUCUUCCUCUUCUUCUUCUUCCAUCAUGGAAGGCUUUCCAACAACCCUGGCCAUGGUCUUCUUGACCCUUUCCUUCCUCUUCUUCCCUUCUGCAGCAACCUCUUUGGGUUCAGAUUCCAAGGGUACUUGAGUGGAGGCUCUGGCUUUAGACAUGGGAAUUCUUCUUGCAGGUGCUUUGGUCCUCAUGCCAGGCUUAGUGGCAGCAGGUGUGCCAUAUUCCUUCUUGAGCACCUUCUUCUUGGAAGUGGCCUCAUCCUCAACAGCCACAUAGUCUUCAUCCUCAGACUCUGAGGUUUUCUUCUUUCUGGCCCUGGUGGCUGCCUUAGGCAAGUUGCUGGGUGUGCUUCUGCUACCAUCAUAGCUGUUAGAGGGACUAGUGCCCUCACUCAUGUGAACGUGUUCCUCAGACUUGUUCUGACUGUCACUUUGAUCAGACAUGUUGCAAAUACUAACAGCAGUCCCUGUGAAUAGAUAUAGAUGAGGUAGAUAGGAUGAGCACCACAAAAUACAGAGGUUUUUGCAAAAGAAUGAGUCAAAAACUUAGUUUUAGUUUUCCACAGAAAGCAUUUCGGAUCUACCGAUUUGUAAACUCGAUGAUACCGAAGCAGAUUUUGGAACCUAAACUAGUGAACUCGGUCAGACCGAGUCACAGUUUGGUGGCACCGAGACUGCUAGGGUUUCACAAAGUCAUGAACUCGGUCACACCGAUUUGCAAUUCUCGGUCAGACUGAGAAUCACAUGUGCAAUGGCCUUGGCCAAAUCGGUGGAGCCGUUUCUACAACUCGGUUGGUCUGAGAUGGUUUCGGCGGAAACCUAACCCUAAAUUUUCAAUCCACAACUAAACUACGAAGUGUUUUCGCUGGAUAAUAUGAUCUCAAUCGUGGCAAGAUACAUGGCAAAACAAUGUGCUAGGAAUCAGAGUGAGAUUAGCACAAGGAUCAAGUCCAUACCCUAGUUCGGCGAUGGACUUGCUACGGCGGCAACGACGGAGACGAUUCCCGUUGACAGCGGCGGAGACCAGCGACGGGAGGCACCUGGCGACGACGAGACGAUCCGGAGACCCAGGGAGGUAGAGCAGGCUGAGCGCGGGCGAACGAGUUUGGAGAAAUUUCCAAAUUUUGGCUCAUGGAUAUAUAUAGCCUGACCCUGUCAGUGUGACCGAGUGGAACAACUCGGUGUGACCGAAAAGUUCAAAUUGGUUGCACCGAGAUUGAAAACCUAGAUCGAGUUAGUGAUCUUGGUAUGACCGAAAUGGAGGAAUCGGUCAGACCGAAACACACAAAGAAGUUUUGUAAGUUUAAGUCUAUGACGAAUCAGGGACUCCGAGUGCUCCUCACACAGAGUGGUUCGAAUCUGACUUAAUCAAACUUUGUGAUGUAGCAUGAACAGAGUUUGAGAGAAGAAAAGCAUAGAUAGCUAUAGAAGGUUCUUAGGCAUUCUUGUCCAUCCACUUGGCAAAAGAAAAGGAAUCAACCAAUCAAAACUACAAGUGGAUGUCCUCGAAUGAGUGAAAUAUGCAACCAACAUGCUCACACGAUAAAAUGACAAAUAAAAUAUGUGGCAAAGCACGCACAACCAUUCUAGCAUCUAUCAAGCAAUUUGCGAUGACUAGGUCAUCUAUAUAUGAGUAUAUUGACUUAGGAGUCAAAUGAGAACAUUUGAUCAUAGGUCAUACUCAUCGUUUAAGCUCAAGUGGGGUUACCACUUUUACAUAAUGCAUUGAUGUGUUCACAUCAUUAGAGUUGCUUUAACUCAAUUCUUAGAGUAAAGCUCCCCCUAGAUGUGAGAUCCCCCCUAAGAGGGAUGAACUAACCUUGGGUUUUGUCGAUGAUGACUUCAUGUAGGUGUUGAAGAUGUGGAUGCUCUAUGUUGAUGUAGAUCUUUUGGAGCAAUCCUUUGGAGUGAGUUGCACUUUCAAUACCUACACGGGUUAGUCCCACAAGGAACAAACAAGGAUAUCCAUAGACAUAGAGUGAUGCACACACAAAAUGAUGUCUAUGAAAGCAUUAGGUUACCUUGUCCCUUGUCUUACCAACAAGAGGGUUUGUGACUCCAUGAACUAGUGCAAGAUGUGGAAGUUGAUUGCACUUGUCCUCGCCAAAAUGAUAUGAGUGAAGUAUGUUGGCGGCGUCACCCUCAAGAACUCUCUAGUUCUUCUUAUUCGGGAUCCACAUCAUCUUGAUGGGAAUCCUUGGAGUUGUAGUCGUACUUGAUGAAGUAGAACUUAACAUAGUCUUGGGAACCCACUUGAUCAAGGCCUUAGGAGCUUCUUCAAAUGCAUCAAUCUCCUCUUGAAGCUUAUCCUUGCCUUUUUGCUUGUGGUCUUGUGGUGGAAGAUCAUCUUGAGCUUGUGUUCCUUUGAAGGAAGUAGGAUCAUACUUCUCUUGUUGAGGAACAAACUUCGUCUUGGGGUAUUGAUCUUCAUCCCACUCAACUCCAUUGCAUUGAACUUUCGUUCAAAACCAACACCUUGGUUCUUCCGGUGCCUUCCUUGCUUGCGUACAAUUUCCUCGAAUUGCUUACUCCCGGCAAGGCUCUUGUAAACACCUUUCUCUAUAACUCCCUUCAUAAGCUAUUUUCUUGCUCAAGUGUAACUUGGCUAAGAGAAUCAUUAGUGGAAUCAAGAGAACUAUUAGAAGCAACAACAUUGGAUUUAACAUGAUUAUUGUUACUACUAGAGGAAGAAUCCUUCUUGUUCUUGUUACUAGACUUGACUUGAGGCAUGUAAGUAGAUAAGAGUAAACGCUUGGCAAUGUAAGAAGAACUUUUCUUGCGAAGAUCAUCAUUGAUUGACUUUAAGAACUCAUGCUCUUGCUCAAAGUUGAGCUUUUCAAAGCGUAACUUCUCAUGAGUCCUUAAAAGUUCUCGAUGAUCCCCUAAGAUAGUUUCAUGAGCUAACUUAAGAGUGUUUAGUUCUUUAGUUAGAAGCUCAAUCUUCUCCUUAUCAUUGUCAUUCGUUUUAUCUUGAUUAGCAUGAUUAAUUGACGUUUCAUCAUAGUAUUCAUCACUAGAGUUGUCAAUAAGAAAAUCAUCAUCACCUAGCAAGUCAUCUUCAUCACUAUUGAAAUCAACAUACUCGGGGUGUGUUACCUUUGGGCCUUUAGCCAUGAAGCAUCUUCCAAGUCCUUCAUUUGGUGAAUCAAAUAUGUCGUAGGAGUUGGUUUACACAAGUGCUAGACCGGCAACACCUUCAUCUUGAGUAUGUUCGGAGUCAGAGUGAUAGCUUCUCUCGGAGUGAUUGUCGGAGUCGGAGCCGGAUACCCAUUCACCAACAUGAGCUUGAUGUCUUUGUUUUGUGUAGCUCCUUGAUGACUUGUCCUUCCUUUCUGAAUCCUUGCUUCUCCGGGAUGUUCUUCGUUCAUAACGAUCAUCUCUACUCCUUCUCUCUCUUGGUGGUGAUUCUUCUCUUCUACUUCUCCUCUUAGGUGAUUCUUCUCUUCUUUUGUAGGGAGCCGUACACUCAUUGGAAUAGUGUCCGGGUCUUCCACAAUUGUAGCAAUUACGCUCUCGACUAGAAGAUCUUUUGUCAUUGUAGGACCUUGACUUGGAGCUUCUCUCUUUGCUUCUACUCUUGUAGAACUUGUUGAAGUUCUUCACCAUUAGGCUCAAUUCUUCAUUGAAGGUUUGUUUCUCACUUGAUGAUGUGGGGGCUUCACAUGAGGCUUUGUAAGGACCACUUGACUUGUUGUGGAGCUCCUCCUUAUUCUUGAGUGACAUCUCAUGAGCAACAAUUCUUCCAAUGACUUCCGUUGGCUUGAGAUUUUUGUAAUUGGGCAUCAUUUGGAUCAAUGUGCACACGGUAUCAUAUUUUCCAUCCAAAGCUCUUAGGAUCUUCUUGAUGAUGAAUUUGUUGGUCAUCUCUUCACUUCCCAAGCCGGCAAUCUCAUUUGUAAUGAGAGCAAGCCUAGAGUACAUUUCAGCGACGCCUUCACCAUCCUUCAUCUUGAACUUGUCAAGUUGACUUUGAAGCACAUCCAACUUGGAUUCCUUGACGGAGUCGGUACCUUCGUGCAUAUCAAUCAAAGUAUCCCAAAUUUCCUUUGCAUUCUCAAGAUGGCUGAUUUUGUUGAAUUCUUCGGGGCACAAUCCGUUGAAGAGGAUAUCACAAGCUUGAGUAUUGUAUUGCAGCAUCUUCAACUCAUCCGCGCUAGCUUCACGGUUCGGUUCUCUCCCAACAAAGAAUUCACCUUGCAAGUCAAUACACAAUAGCCCAAACGACGGGGUUAUGUCCAAGAAUAUGCAUUUUCAUCUUAUGCUUCCAACUAGCAAAAUUAAUACCAUCAAAGUAAGGACCUCUAUGGUGAUAGUUUCCCUCGCUAGACGUCAUACUCUCCUAGGUUGUGAAACCAAGGCUAUGACCACCAAAGGCUAUGGAAAUCAAAGCAAAUAGAGACCAAAGCUCUGAUACCACUUGUAGGAUCGGAAGUAUGUCUAGAGGGGGGGGUGAUUAGACUACUUGACCAAAUAAAAACUUAUCCCUUUCCCAAUUUUAGUCUUUGGCAGAUUUUGGCUAACUUAGCACAAGUCAAGCAAGCAUGCAAAGAGUAUAUGAGCAGCGGAAUGUAAAGCAUGCAACUUGCAAGAAUGUAAAUGGAAGGGUUUGGAGAAUUCAAAUGCAAGUGGACACACAGAUGUUUUUGUCGUGGUUCCGAUAGGUGGUGCUAUCGUACAUCCAUGUUGAUGAAGACUUCAACCCACGAAGGGUAACGGCUGCGCGAGUCCACAGAGGGCUCCACCCAAGAAGGGUCCACAAAGAAGCAACCUUGUCUAUACCACCAUGGCCGUCACCCACGAAGGACUUGCCUCACUAGUGGUAGAUCUUCACGAAGUAGGCGAUCUCCUUGCCCUUACAAACUCCUUGGUUCAACUCCACAAUCUUGUCGGAGGCUCCGAAGUGACACCUAGCCAAUCUAGGAGACACCACUCUCCAAGAAGUAACAAAUGGUGUGUUGAUGAUGAACUCCUUGCUCUUGUGCUUCAAAUGAUAGUCUCCCCAACACUCAACUCUCUCUCAUAGGAUUUGGAUUUGGUGGAAAGAAGAUUUGAGUGGAAAACAACUUGGGGAAGGCUAGAGAUCAAGAUUCAUAGGGUAGGAAUGGAAUAUCUUGGUCUCAACACAUGAGUAGGUGGUUUUCUCUCAGAAAAUGUAAGUUGGAAAUGUAGGUUCAUUCUGAUGGCUCUCUCCACGAAUGAAGAGGAGGUGGAGGGGUAUAUAUAGCCUCCACACAAAAUCUAACCGUUACACACAACUUGCCAAUCUCAGUGGGACCGAAUUGAGAAACUCGGUCGGACCGAUUCAACAAAUCUAGUGACCGUUAGGAUUUUUGGUGGGACCGACAUGCAACUCGGUAGGACCGAUAUGGUUAGGGUUAGGGCAUAACGUAAUCUCGGUGAGACCGAUUACACAAACUCGGUGAUACCAAUUUUGGUAAUAAGCUAACCAGAGAGUUGGUCAGGUAAACUCAAUGGGACCGGUUCGCUCAUUCCGAUGAGACCGAAAUGUUAUGAAAGGGAAAUAGAGAGUUUACACUGCAAUCUCGGUGGGACCGAUCGCUCACCUCGGUGGUACCGAAACGUUACGAAGGGAAACAGAGAGAUUACAAUCCCAUCUCGGUGAGACCGAGAUCCCUAUCGGUGAGACCGUUUUGCCUAGGGUUUGUGGCAAUGGCUAUGACAUUUGAACUCGAUGGCGUCGGAUAGAAAGAAUCGAUAGGGCCGAGUUUGACUUUUGGUUUAGGUCAUAUGUGGAUGUGAGAAGGUAGUUGAGGGCUUUGGAACAUAUCACUAAGCACUUUGAAGCAAGAACCUCAUUAAGCAACACCUCAUCCCUCCUUGAUAGUAUUGGCUUUUUCUAUAGACUCAAUGUGAUCUUGGAUCACUAAAAUAUGAAAUGUAGAGCCAUGAGCUUUGAGUUUGAGCCAAUCCUUUUGUCCUUAGCAUUUUGAGGGGUCCACUUUUCUCAUCAUUGCCAUGCCAUUCAUUGAGCUUUCCUGAAAUAUUUAUCUUCGAAUAGCAUUAGCUCAAUGAGCUAUAUGUUGUUAGGAAUUACCGAAACCACCUAGGGAUAGUUGCACUUUUAAAAUCUCAUAAGCUCCGUUAGUGCAAGAAAGCAAACCACCAUUUUAAGGUACUGUAAUGAACUCAUUAUUUAUUUAUAUUGGUGUUAAACCUACUGUAUUCCNNNNNNNNNNNNNNNNNNNNNNNNNNNNNNNNNNNNNNNNNNNNNNNNNNNNNNNNNNNNNNNNNNNNNNNNNNNNNNNNNNNNNNNNNNNNNNNNNNNNNNNNNNNNNNNNNNNNNNNNNNNNNNNNNNNNNNNNNNNNNNNNNNNNNNNNNNNNNNNNNNNNNNNNNNNNNNNNNNNNNNNNNNNNNNNNNNNNNNNNNNNNNNNNNNNNNNNNNNNNNNNNNNNNNNNNNNNNNNNNNNNNNNNNNNNNNNNNNNNNNNNNNCCGAUACUAGCCAUAGAUUCAUCAAAAUAAGCAAACAACACACGAAAAACAGAAUCUGUCAAAAACAGAACAGUCUGUAGUAAUAUGUAACUUUCGAAUACUUAUGGAAACUAAAAAUCCUACCAAAAUAGGAAGUCCUAGGAAAUUUGUCUAUUAACCUACUUCAAAAAGAAUCAACUCAAAAGCACGUUUCUGUGAUUUAUUAAAACUAUUCUCGUGCGCGCAAAUGUUUUUGUUUUUCAGCAAGAUCAAAUUAACUAUCACCCAAGAUGAUCCUAUAGGUUCUACUUGGCACAAACACUAAUUAAAACAUAAAACCACAUCUAAACAGAAGCUAGAUGAAUUAUUUAUUACUAACUAGGAUAAAAAAGCAAGGAACAAAAAUAAAAUUGGUUGCCUCCCAACAAGCGCUAUCCUUUAAUGCCCCUAGCUAGGCAUAAAAGCGAGAAUAGAUCUAGCAUUGCCAUCUUUGGUAUUCAAAUCAUAAGUAGCUCUCAUAAUAGAUUCAUAAGGUAGUUUCAUUUUCUUUCUAGGAAAGUUUUCCAUGCCUUUCCUUAACAGAAAUUAGAAUCCAAUAUUUGCUUCCUUCAUAUCAAUAAUUGCACCAAUCGUUUUAAGGAAAGAUCUACCAAAAAUAAUAGAACAUGAAAGAUUGCAAUCUAUAUCAAGAACGAUAAAAUAAACAGGCACAUAAUUCCUAUUUGCAACAAUAAGAACAUCAUUAAUCCUUCCCAUAGGUUUCUUAAUGGUGGAAUCCGCAAGGUGCAAGUUUAAAGAGUUAUCAUCAAAAUCACGAAAACCUAACACAUCACACAAAGCUUUUGGAAUCGUGGAAACACUAGCACCCAAAUCACACAAAGCAUAGCAUUCAUGAUCUUUAAUUUUAAUUUUAGUAGUAGGUUCCCACUCAUCAUAAAGUUUUCUAGGGAUAGAAACUUCCAGUUCAAGUUUUUCUUCAUAAGAUUGCAUCAAAGCAACAACGAUAUGUUUAGUAAAAGCUUUAUUUUGACUAUAAGCAUGAGGAGAAUUCAACACGGAUUGCAACAAGGAAAUACAAUCUACUAAAAAACAAUUCUCAUAAUUAAAUUCCUUAAAAUCCAAAAUAGUGGGUUCAUUGCUAUGUAAAGUUUUGACCUCUCCAAUCCCACUUUUACCAAAUUUAGCAUCAAAAUCUAAAAACUCCGAAUCAUUGGGACGCCUUUUAACUAAAGUUCACUCAUCUCCAGUCCCAUCAUUAUCAAGAUUCAUAUUGCAAAACAAAGAUUUAAUAGGGGACACAUCAAUCACUUUUAGAUCUUCAUCAUUAUUUUCAUGGAAACUAGAAGAACACACUCUUACAAAGCAAUCUUUCUUAGCACGCAUCCUAGCGGUUCUUUCUUUGCACUCAUCAAUGGAAAUUCUCAUGGAUUUGAGAGACUCAUUGAUAUCAUGCUUAGGUGGAAUAGAUCUAAGAUUCAAAGAAUCAACAUCAAGAGAAAUUCUAUCCACGUUCCUAGCCAACUCAUCAAUCUUAAGCAUUUUUUCUUCAAGCAAAGCAUUGAAAUUCUUUUGGGAAAUCGUAAAUUCUUUGACACUAAUCUCAAAAUCAGAGGGCAUCUUAUUAAAAUUUCCAUAAGAGUUGUUGUGGGAAUUACCAUAAUUAUUAGAGGAAUUACUAGGGAACGGUCUAGGACUAAAGUUUCCUCUAUAAGCAUUGUUACCAAAAUUAUUCCUACCAACAAAAUUCACAUCCAUAGAUUCAUUAUUAUUCUCAAUCAAAGUAGACAAAGGCAUAUCAUUAGGAUCAAAAGGAGCACUCUUACUAGCAAACAAUUUUAUAAGUUUAUCCAUCUUUCCACUAAAAACAUUAAUCUCUUCUAUCGCAUGAACUUUUUUAUUGGUAGAUCUCUCGGUGUGCCAUUGAGAAUAAUUAACCAUAAUAUUAUCUAGGAUUUAGUAGCUUCUCCUAAAGUGAUUUCCAUAAAAGUGCCUCCCGCGGUCGAAUCUAAAAGAUUUCUAGAAGCAAAAUUCAAUCCGGCAUAAAAACUUUGUAUGAUCAUCCAUAAAUUUAAUCCAUGUGUAGGGCAAUUGCGAAUCUUAAUUUCAUCCUCUCCCAAGAUUGUGCAACAUGCUCAUGAUCAAGUUGCUUAAAAUUCAUAAUAUCGUUUCUAAGAGAGAUGAUCUUAGCGGGAGGAAAAUACUUAGAGAUAAAAACAUCUUUGCACUGAUUCCACGAAUCAAUACUAUUUUCAGGCAAAGACGAAAACCAAGUUUUAGCACGUUCUCUAAGCGAAAACGGAAAUAACUUUAAUUUAACAAUGUCAUUAUCCAUGUCUUUCUUCUUUUGCAUAUCGCACAAAUCAACAAAAUAGUUUAGAUGAGUAGUCGCAUCUUCACUAGGAAGGCCAGAGAAUUGAUCUUUCAUGACAAGAUUCAACAAAAUGAACGCAGCCCAAGCAGCUCGAGUGCAACCCUCAAAUUGAAUUGUGUAAGCCGAUCUUGCCAUGUACAUGCCAUUUGCUGUCCACUUCCAACGAACCCGAUCAGGCUCUUCUGUUAGGUGUAAAUUUUGGACUCCUUCCCACAGCGUCAGGAAUUCCCUUGUUGCCUGUGCAGAUAGGUUUGUUUUGAGGUGUCUAAUCCAUCUGUUGUUCUCCAUGGCUUGCGCAACAGUGAGGUUUUUCCUGGUGCAAUGUUGAAACAGCGUCAGGAAGGCAUCCUGGAGGUUGAUGCCCUUAAACCACGGCUCCUUCCAAAAGAGAAUGCGGUCACCCUUGCCCAGCUGGAAGUCAACUGAGGCGUUGAAGAGCGAUCUGACCGCAGGAUCGAUAGGCAGCUCCAGCCCCUGGCAUGCCUUGUUGCUGUCGGUCCAGGAAAGCCACAGCCACCUCAUCCGUAGGGCGCGACUUUGGGUUGUCAGGUUGAUGAUGCCAAGCCCACCGUAAUCCUUUGGCCGACAUAUUGUACCCCAGUUGACAAGGCAUUUCCCUCCGACCGCCACCUCGCUGCCCCCCCNNNNNNNNNNNNNNNNNNNNNNNNNNNNNNNNNNNNNNNNNNNNNNNNNNNNNNNNNNNNNNNNNNNNNNNNNNNNNNNNNNNNNNNNNNNNNNNNNNNNNNNNNNNNNNNNNNNNNNNNNNNNNNNNNNNNNNNNNNNNNNNNNNNNNNNNNNNNNNNNNNNNNNNNNNNNNNNNNNNNNNNNNNNNNNNNNNNNNNNNNNNNNNNNNNNNNNNNNNNNNNNNNNNNNNNNNNNNNNNNNNNNNNNNNNNNNNNNNNNNNNNNNNNNNNNNCCCCCCCCAGAGGAACCCACGUCGAACCUUAUCAAUCAGCUUAGCCAGCCAAGCCGACAAUAUCAAGGCGAGCAUUUGGAAGAUCGGCAUCGCCGAGAGCACGGUUCUGACAAGAUCCAACCGUCCAUCAAGAAUGUGACAUGUUAGCUCAACCAAG
rnacentral:lncRNA from 1 species